UUUUUUUUUGUUUCGUCUCUUUCGGCCUACAUCGCGGAGCUUACGGCCAGUCACUGGGACUUCGGUUUUCGCCGGGCCCUGUCUCCGGCAGAGCGAGAGGAAUGGCAGCGCCUCGCUGCCUCCCUCCCUAUGCUCUCGGAGUCGCUGGAUGUGGUUUCUUGGCCACAUUCAGCCUCUGGCCGGUUUUGGAUUAAAUCUUGUUAUUGUAUUCUGUCUGUUGGGUCUCCUGUCUCUAGGUUUAAGCCUAUUUGGCGCACGAGGGUGCCGCCUAAAAUCAAGGUUUUUCAUGUGGCAGGCUAUGCGUGGCCGGUUGCCUGCGGCUAAUCUAUAUCUAUAUCUAUAUCUAUACUUCUUAUAAAAAAGCAAACAUUAUCUUUUUUAAAUGCACCUCAUAAAACGUACACGAAUACAUUACCACCGCAUGAUUAGUCUCACUAAACUCAAUCUAACGGCUAGCCUUAUCCUAAUUUAUUUUUUGUGUGCACUUAGCAAUUUACAUUGGCUGACCGUACUCCACCACGGAAGAAAAUAUAAAAGUCCACGUCCGGUCAAUUAGAAAAUUAUAAUCACAGACACUCCUAUUAAGAAACUAAUCACGGGCACAUCUAAUUAUUAGAAAACUAAUCACAAAGCAUCUUAUUAUUAGGAAACUAAUCAUGGACGCAUCUUAUUAUUAGGAAAAUAAUCACGCACGCAUCAUAUUAGGAAAUUAAUCAUGGACGCAUCUAAUUAUUAGGAAACUAAUCACGGACACAUCGUAUUAGAUAACUAAUCAUGAACGCAUCUAAUUAUUAGGAAACUAAUUGCGAGCGCAUCCUAUCGCCUCGGGAAUCACGAUCGCGAGUCGCCUGCCGUCACCAGCCCACCACCCAUGUGAGCUACAGUGGGAGACACGCGAGGAGGAGCUGCAGCUUCCUCCGAACACGUGUCGUCGCUGCUUUCGUCUUCUGCCUAGAGGCCAGGUCACUUUUCUACUGACUGCAACGACUUCUUUAACGUCCUGGCAUGUUCUCCGGGAUCCAUCGGCACUCGCGUCGAUUCAGCUCUGUCCGCAAUACCCACGCUGACAACCACCCACCGCCGACGCCCUUCAAGUGGGGGCAACCCUGAGUAUCCUGGACCAGUAUAAGCGGGCCAAGAAAAUCGAGUGGGGGACGCCCCGGUGCAUAGAGGGCGUCGCCUCAAAGCUGGACGACUGAUUCACCUGCGUCGACAACGCCGUCCAGCUGGUCAAAGGACACGGUCGCCACGGACGCUCGCAGGCCUGAACGACGGAGAUGCUCGCCUUCACGCGAACGCGCCGCACGCACGCACUAAUCAAAUAAGCACCGAGUGUUGUUUUUUACUGAUGUGGGCAUAGACACCAUAGAUACUUCUACAAAUAUUACACGAGACAUUUUUCAGGUAAUUUCGGUUGUUAAUUCUAUAAUAUUAUAUUAUAUUAUCAGAGGCAAAAAUACUACACGUUUUUAUUUCUUUUGUAGAAUUAUUGAAGGCAUUUGCGAAAUAAAUAUGAAGAUGAGAGAUUGUGUUGGAGAUUACAUGAUGCAUACAAGUGCACAGUCAACCAAAGUCCUACGUGCAUGCAUCAGGAAGGAGGAGGCAGCUUUGUUUGCGUCAAUCACACACAUGUGUGUACACAAGCCGGUACAAAGGAGCCAGCGAUACAAGGAUCAAUUAGUGGGCCUGUACAUCAAGUUGGGCCACGUCUUGUCAACCAAAUCAGACGUCAGGUCUUUCCGAGCAAUCGUAUCCGGCCUCUGUACGAGCCCUACGUCCGCGCACCAACACACAAGGCAGCCGCCGCUCUUUAAUAAAUAGCUAGUCUGGGUUAGGGUUUAGGCUGGGGUUUUGUUUAGAGAAGUUUAGCUAUUGCUACUUUUAUUUGUCUUCGCUCGUAGCGGCUAGUGCGACCGUCAAGACAUCCUAUCGGAACCCCAUCUUGUGAGAUUAAUCCCAUCUAGCAUAUUCGCAAUUUUGAGAUUGCUUGGCUAUUAUUUUCUUGCAUUUUCUUCGAUUUGCUUGCAGGAAAAAUCCUUCGUGGAUAGGUCGAUCGCGUCGUUGGCUCGGUCGAUAACACCGUGGAGUUGGUUCAGCGAUUGCCGUGGAUAUCAGUCGUGUACGGUUCUUCCUAAACGGUUGGUAGCCGGAUCGUGAGGAUCAAGUCCCACCCAAAAUUGUAGUUAUCCUCUCUCAUCGAAAGAUCAGGUCCCAGUUCACAUCAAGUGGUAUCAGUUUUCAGGUUCAUCGGUGAGAGAUUUACAGUUUUCUUAGAUUAGAUUGAUUUUAGUCCUACAACCCACAAAAAGCCAAAAAAAUUAGAUUAAUUCAUCCGCUGCACCUACCUUUUUAGCCUCUAGCAAUUUUUGCAUCUAGUAUUUGUGUAGUUGAAUUUUUGGUUGCAUUCAUCUAAUACUAGUGCUGGUCUAGAUUAGUCCGAGAGCAAAUUAUCUACUAAAUCGAAUUUGUUUUUGUCCACCAUAUUUUCUGCCACACCAAUCCAUCGGCCGCGCACCGUCUACCUGAUCUGCUAAGUUUACGUGUUUGUCGCACACGCGCCAACUGCACCUGUACACCAUGUCCCAUCCGCCUUAAAAAUUGCUCCGCUGCUGCCGCGCGCACGUCCCAGACUCCAGCCACUAGCCAGGGAACAUCCCGAGAAGUUUUCCUGUUCAUAUCUUUUCUGCCUGCGCAUCACCCUAGCCUUCUGCCAACAACUCGUUUUUCAUCACACAUUAGUCUAUCCAUCUGCCAUCGUGUGUACGCCUCAGCAAAUUACGCCGACCCCACACGCCCACCUGUGCGCAGCUGCUCUCUAUGCUCCUUGGCGCCGCUUAACUGCUGUCUGCUUUGUGCAUCGCUAGCCAGUACUACUGUUAAACGUUUGGAGUUGCCUACCUAUGCAUCAUCUGACACUUCAUUAAUCUCCUAUAUCUCCAGUAGUACAAUCAGGUUGCUUCUAGUAGCACACUCUGGUUUAAUCCUGUUAUCCUCUUGUUACGUGUGUAUACUUGUUGGUAACCGGCCUGAUCAAAGGAAAAAAAGAGAAGAAAGAGCAAAAAAUAAAGAAGGAAAGAGCAAGAAAAAAAAAGAAAAAAUUUGGAAAAAAAACAGAGAAGAAAAAGUAAGACAAAAAAGUUCAGGCCGGUUAGCAUCUUUUGGUAUAACUUUUAUUGUCCAGAAACUUUACUUUGUUCAUAUACGUGAUAUCUGCUGGACAUUUUUCUGCUCUAGGUUUUCAUACACUGCCAUUUAUACCUCACUUAUAUCUAGCUAUUUAGAGCUGUCAUAUUUUCACCGGCUUCCACUCAUUUGAUUUAGUAUCUGGGAUUAGAUUAUUUUAUCUCUUACUAGUCGACUGCCAACACUAGUUAGAAGUUUGAGCAAUUAUUCAACUUGCAUUGCUUUUUGCUAAAUUGUGCCACUAAUAUUGUGAGUUGAGAAACCUUUGCCAAGCUACACUUUUUCUACCAAUAAGUACAGGUUCCGGCUCUACUGAUUCCUAGUUAUCGCUCCAUCCAAUCUUCAUCGGUAGUUUGAAGCCAACAUCAACGCGCCGAUCACCACCUGUUGCAUUGGUAAGAACAACUAAGAAUUUGAUACUAAGUUUGCGUGUGAGCGAAUUUUGUCCACCACAUCCUGUUAGUUGAUAGGGAUUAUACAUUGUGUUUUUUCCUCCUUCGCUAACAAUGGCACAGGAUCAACCAACACUUGAGGGCCUCACCGCGGAUGUGAAAGUCACCAGCGAGCGUCUCGCCCAACUUGAGGGUGCUCAGAUUGCGGCCGAAGAGAGGCUCAAGGCCAUAGAGGAUGCACAGGGUGUUGCAAACACACAACUAAAGGACAUCUUAUCACGUCUUGACGAGUUGCGGACUGCAGCCCCUAUCAACAACAACGCGGAUCCUCGCAACUCCACGGGUGGCGCCGCUACUUCGCGAGCUCGGCGUGUGCCCAUGGGGCAUCCACAACACCCAGCUACUGCCACUGAUGCCGCCACCAUAAACUAACACCAACAAAUUCCUCCCCGCGUCGAGCAACAUGGGGACAACUAUGAGGAUUAUUCUGGUGACACAGAAGACGACCAAAUGGUCAACCACCAUAAUGAUCGUGCUCAUCGACAACUACGUUUCAACCGUCAAGGUAUGGCACGAGGUCCACACAGGUAUGAUGUUCGAGAUUAUGACCACUCUAGUGCUAAAAUUAAAUUUACUAUGUCUGCUUUCAAUGGUAAAUAUAAUCCAGAUGUCUAUCUUGAUUGAGAACUUUCUGUUGAACAAAACAUUUGCAUGUCAUGAUAUUCCUGAAAACCAACGAGUUAGGGCAGCCACUAGUGAAUUUACAAACUUUGCUUCCAUGUGGUGGAGUGAAUAUUGUCGUAUUAAUGCAAAUAAUAUACCUACUACUUGGGAUGCUUUAAAACGAGUUAUGCGACAACGUUAUGUUCCUUCAUAUUAUGCUCGUGAUAAACUAAAUGAAUUGCAACGUUUAAAACAAGGUAGUAGUUCUGUAGAGGAUUAUUAUCAAGAAUUGCAAACUGGCUUAGUGCGAUGUGGAUUAGUUGAAACCGAAGAUGCUAUGAUGGCUCGAUUUUUAGGUGGUUUGAAUCGUGAUAUUUCAGGAUAUAUUGGACUAUAAGGAGUACAAUUCUAUUACUCGUUUGUUUCAUUUUGCUUGUAAAGCUGAAAGGGAAGUACAAGGACGACACAACAAGGGACGAGGUAACUUUUCUGCAGGUCGCCGCUCAUCAUGGACACCCUCUCCUACUGUUCCGUCCACUACUGAGUCAACACCACCUAUCUUGCACAAUGGUGCACACUCAUCAAGUUCAAAAUCAGCUCCACAAUCAUCCGAGGGUUCGAAAGCAAUUUCUGUAGCACCCACCACUUCGUCUGGACGCACAAGGGACAUGAAGUGUCAUAUAUGCAAAGGUGGCGGGCACUUGAUGAAGGACUGUCCAAAUAAACGAACAUUCAUUGUGCGGGGAGAUGGUGAGUACUCUUCUGCUAGUGAUUUGGAUGAAGAUACACGUGCUAUGCUAGCCACUAAUAAUGCAGGUGACUCUAAGGAGCAUGACACGCAUGAGAUACAUAUUAAUGCUGAGAUGGCAGAUCAGUACCCAAGCCUGGUAACCAUGCGAGUACUUAGAGCCCAGGUGGGGCAUGAUGAGAUGCCUCAACGCCAUAAUCUUUUUCAAACUAAGUUUGUUGUCAAAGGGCAUUUUGUUCGUGUGAUCAUUGAUGGUGGAAGCUGCAAUAAUUUGGCGAGUAUUGAAAUGGUAGAGAAGCUUUGCCUCACCACUACAAGACACCCCCAUCCAUAUUACAUCCAAUGGUUCAACGACUGUGGUAAGUUGAAGGUAACACGUCGUGUGAGGGUUCAUUUUACACUUGGUUCAUAUCAUGAUUAUGUUGACUGCGAUGUUGUAUCUAUGCAAGCAUGUUCUUUAUUGUUAGGUCGACCUUGGCAAUAUGAUAAUAGUGUUAUCCAUCAUGGUAGAACAAAUUCAUAUACUCUCGUGUUUGAAGGAAAACCAUUAACUUGCUUCCAAUGACCCCCAUGAAAUAAUAAAUGAUGGAAAAGCUAAAUCAACGGAUCAUGCUAUGCAUAGUAUGCUUGCGAUCAAUUCUAAAAAAACUCCGUUCAGUGUCUCAACUUUUGAACUAGACAUACCGCAUGCUCAGGAUGUUACAAAUUUAUUUCACCCUCAUGAGCUAACGCCUUUGAAAUGGCCUAUAUAUGUUGCAUCUAUUUUCGCUUUGCUCUAUGAUGUGUUUCAGGUAAAUGAAAGCCGAGGACGGCUUUGUUUUCAAGAAAGGGAGGAUGAUGUGGGCAUAGACACCAUAGAUACUUCUACAAAUAUUACACGAGACAUUUUUCAGGUAAUUUUGGUUGUUAAUUCUAUAAUAUUAUAUUAUAUUAUCAGAGGCAAAAAUACUACACGUUUUUAUUUCUUUUGUAGAAUUAUUGAAGGCAUUUGCGAAAUAAAUAUGAAGAUGAGAGAUUGUGUUGGAGAUUACAUGAUGCAUACAAGUGCACAGUCAACCAAAGUCCUCCGUGCAUGCAUCAGGAAGGAGGAGGCAGCUUUGUUUGCGUCAAUCACACACAUGUGUGUACACAAGCCGGUGCAAAGGAGCCAGUGAUACAAGGAUCAAUUAGUGGGCCUGUACAUCAAGUUGGGCCACGUCUUGUCAACCAAAUCAGACGUCAGGUCUUUCCGAGCAAUCGUAUCCGGCCUCUGUACGAGCCCUACGUCCGCGCACCAACACACAAGGCAGCCGCCGCUCUUUAAUAAAUAGCUAGUCUGGGUUAGGGUUUAGGCUGGGGUUUUGUUUAGAGAAGUUUAGCUAUUGCUACUUUUAUUUGUCUUCGCUCGUAGCGGCUAGUGCGACCGUCAAGACAUCCUAUCGGAACCCCAUCUUGUGAGAUUAAUCCCAUCUAGCAUAUUCGCAAUUUUGAGAUUGCUUGGCUAUUAUUUUCUUGCAUUUUCUUCGAUUUGCUUACAGGAAAAAUCCUUCGUGGAUAGGUCGAUCGCGCUGUUGGCUCGGUCGAUAACGCCGUGGAGUUGGUUCAGCGAUUGCCGUGGAUAUCAGUCGUGUACGGUUCUUCCUGUACGGUUGGUAGCCGGAUCGUGAGGGUCAAGUCCCACCCAAAAUCGUAGUUAUCCUCUCUCAUCGAAAGAUCAGGUCCCAGUUCACAUCAUUUACUGUCAUCGCUACCUCACCGGUGGUGACACAUCUAGAAGUACACGAACUAGAGAUGAGACAAUGAGAAACAGAGGCGCGCUGGAGCACACACAGUUGGGUUUCAGGCAACCAAUGCCUUCUUUCUUUCUUUAUUUUUUCACUGAUUUUCGCGUACCUGCAACAGACAUCCCUGUUUUUUUAAGUACUUACUAUCGGUUAUUACAUGGCCAACUCACGACUACAUAGUGAACUCACAGACAAAUUCGCUGAACCAAGACCUUAAUUGCAGUCAUGAAAUUAAGUGAAAAAACCCAGAAGUUUGCAUAAGUUUUAGUGAAAAAAAUAAAAUUCGCAUAAGUUUUACUAAAAAACAUGAAGUUUGCAUAAGUGUAUUUAUUUGUCCAGCAGAUACAUGGCAAUUGUAAUUUUACAUGAGCAUUUUCAUACCGUCCUUAUCUACAGUUGAGUUAAUAUGUUUUCCUGAUAUAACUCUUGGACCACAUACAUGAGAAGCAAAAAAUGCAUGUUGAUUAUGAUGAUGACGAAUGUAUUUUAUUUCAUUAUUGCACUCUACAUUACAUACUACGCACGAUCACUUUGGUAGAGGUGACGAGUUCGCAUCAUACAGAGAGACCAACCAUGUUUCUCCGAAUAUCUUGAAUCAUGAUCCUUAUGACUUCAUCUCUACUACUUAUAAGAAGUAUAUUUUUUCAUUUGACUAUUUCCUGACUUGAGAGGUAAGAUAUGUUUUAUCCACUAGAGUUGCUAAAAUUGGAAGCAUGUCUGCAAUUUUUUUCUUUCUAAACCGGCAUUUGUUGGCCUUUUUUUGUCACUGUUAUUCUUACAAGUGGUAGCCUACGCAUGUUGAAGACCAUUUCCAAAUUAUUUAUCUUCGUAUCAUUAUUACUACAAACUGAGAGGAUAUUUUUUAUAUUGUCAAAAUUUUAGAAUGUUGAGCCCUUAAAGAAAUGUGUAGUACUCAAGUAACUGUUCCAAGUUGUCGUAUUAAUGCUUUUGUCUUAUAAUAAUAAUUCUUGAAUGGAGUUUGUUGGCACUGAAACGGUUCCUUAGCUUGUCCUAAGUGACAUUUUCAUGUGUAUACUUGCAUAAAUGUGUGCAUAUGGAGAAUUAUGAUAGAUCUUCUAAAUAAUUUUGAGUUUUAUACAUUGGGAACACUGGGUGGUCUUUUAAUACAGGAGACAUGUUGAUUAAGGAGAAACUAUAUUUCAAAUUGUUUGUACGAGUAGGGAAUAAGAGAUUGUGUAUUUUAUAGGGAAAAUGCAAAUUUAUGAAUAAAUUAUCAUGUAUUAAGUUUAGUAUAGUGUGUUAAUCCAAAUAGACGUGUAUUGCACGUACACAUUUAUUAGUUCAAAUAGACGUGCGUUGCACGUGCACACUUACUAGUCAGAUAAAAAAAGGAAUGAGCCUGGCUCAAAAUUUUGCUCCCUUUGCGGAUGUUUGGAAAACACUAACCAUAUCCUCUUCCGCUGUCCUCUGGCCAGGCUUUUCUAGAGUUGUUGUGGUGAAUGGAUGGGCGCCUCCUGGGCCCCAAAUAGCUUUGGCAAGCUGUAGGCCCAGGCGUAGUCUCUUUUCGGGCAAUCCAAGAGGUUGUUCUAGUUCGGUUUCUCUGCCAUGUGUUGAACCCAAUGGACUAUCCAGAAUAAAUUUACCACCGAACAGGUGUUCCCUAACAGAGUUGUUGACUGCAUCUUCAAUUUUUCUAUCUUUUUGCAGCAGUGGAAAUCUCUAAUUAAAGAUGGCGACAUGGCGGUUGUGGAGCUCCUCAUUUCUCGCAUUCAUGCCUCGGCUGCUAAUCUUCUGGCUGGGUCCCAGGUUCCUCCACAGUACUUGGUGCUUACCAUGGUUGUCAUUAUGUUUCUUCUUCUUCCGAGUGCUCCCUCCUUAGUUAGCUUUGCGCCUGCAUGCCUUGUUGCCGGCUGUGGCUUGUUGCUACAUUCUGUUUAGCUUGUGCUGGUGUAACCUUGGUCUUUUUUGUAAAAAAAAAGCAGUGAAAAUCCGAUAAAAGGUCUGUUACGAAAAUCUUGAGAGAGAAAAUUGACCUUGUUCACACCGCAAUACAUCAUGGAAAUAGCUCAUAAUCUCAAACUUAUAUGCUGAAGGAGGACGAUGAGGACUGAUGGAAAGGAGAGAUGCGUAGAAACUCCUGGACAUAGGCGCUCUGGGAGCCUCAGGGAAGCCAUAGGAUCGCACCGAGAACGAGUCAAGAUUUCAGCUACCACCAACAUGAAGGCGAGCGAGGUCACCAUGUCUCCUUGUCACCUUGGAUCGACAACGAUGUCGUCAUGAUGAGCAAAUGUCCUCUUGUGGGUCUAAAGAACAAAGGACGGUCUGAAAAACAGAGAACAUGACUUUGACUAAGGAGAGCACAACGGAGGAUGGUCUGAAGCACAGAGAACAUGCGUACAACUAAGGAGAGGACAGUAUAGAGCAUGGCUAUUUCUGAUGUUUGCGUGUAGCAAGCUGUCACCAUGUAAUUAAGUCACAAAACGUAACUAAUUCACAAAAAUUUAUCCAGGCAAAUAUUAAUCAUCCAUCACAUUUAGCUGGCUCUAGGAGAACAAAUCUUCAACUUGUUUCAUUCCCAAAAAAGCAUACACUAAAAAUAGCAUGAAAUUAAAAAGCAAUUGUCUAGCACGUAGGUGGUGCAACUAUGCCUGAGAAAACAAGGUGCUGACCGACGAUUUCCCGACUGUCUACUAUACUACAAUAAGUUUUGCCCGGCUCCAGUGAGGGAGGGACGAUGAUAGCAACGUUCCUUCAGCUCGCUUCAGUGUUUGUAGUCGUCACUAGGUGGUUUACGAAUCUGGAUGUGAUCUUUUUAUUUCUGGUAUUUGUUGUAGAAUCAUGAUUGAUGAUGAAUAGAUUGGAAGUUUUUCCAAAAAAAAGGCACCAAACACAAAAAAAGGUGCAACUCAAGAUUUACGACCAACUAAACAAUAGAGAUAUCAACUGAAUAACAAUUUCAAUGAUUACAUUGGAAUUAAAUAUGAUUGAUUUGGCUCAAAGAACACAAUGAAUACAAUGAAGCUCAUAGACGAAUAUAAGAAUUUCAAGAAAUUAACUGAAUGUCUCUUCCUAACCACCAAAACUAAAUAAAAAUGAGAUGAGAUCGGCCCAUGUAGUUGGCUUCCUGGCUUACAUGGGAGGGAAAGGACUAGAACCGAACCCCAUAUCAAAGGACUGCAUCUGCAUCAUAUCGCAGCUAGAGAAUUUGGCGUCGGCAUAGCCACUGUAGACCAGGGUGUCGAGGUCCCCUCCGGAGCUCACCAUGUCAGGCAGGCCCUCCUGCUGCUGAGGUGGUGCCGGAUACAACAAGGGAGACCCCAUGUCAAUGAUGUCAGUGGUGACACAUAGAGCUCGUGGCGGUGCCUGUGAAUGGAUUUUUGCCAUGCGUUCACUGAUGCUAUUGAGAAGCAUGUCCACCUUGUAGCCAACUCUGGUGAGCUCCUCGAUGGUGUGGCCAACGAGGCCUGAGUGAUCCCCAUCCAUGGUUUUGUGAAGGAGGUACCUGAUCUCGCCGUCCUCGCACUCGCGGCGGGUCUUGUCGACCUGGUCCCGGACCUUGUUAAUGCGCUUGGUGAUGAAGCCCUGCUGGUUCAUCACCUCCUUGCACUGCCCCAACUCCGGCAUGCUUUUGAAUUGUUUCAGGAUACCCACCGCCUCGGCCUGGGAAGGGAACACCUUGGGCGCCACCUUGCCCUCGUUGUACACCAGUACGCAGGUCUUAGCAUCGCACAAGAUGGCUAGUUCGUCCGCCUUCUUCAUCAGGCCCUUGAGGCGCUUCUUGAAUCUAUGGUGCCGGGUCGAGUCAUGGGGGAUGUAUUGGAGGGUCAUGUUGCGAGCCAUUGCUGGCAAGAGGAUAAAACCAGUGAAGGAAAAGAAAGUUGCUGGUUUCGGCGAGGGAGGAGGGGUGGAUUUAUAGUGGAGGGAUCACCGUGAUUUGGUAAGAGUUUAUUGUGACAGGUACAAAGAAGAUUGCCGUAUUUAGUACUUGUGAACGCGAUCGAAUAUCUAGCAGACCUUUGACACGACCUUAAUUGUGCCCAUCUGUAAAUUUGUCAUCAAUUUAAACCUACUUACUUGGACAAGAUAGCACGUUACCGUUCCCCCAUAUGACGGGAGCGAGACAUAUCAUACCCGCGCUAAUGGUUUCCCUGCAAUGUGUCCGCCACGCUGGUACGCUUCAUGCACGACACAAUGACAACUUUCUAAGCCCAUCAAGCCGUGCAAAUGAAUGGAACGAACACAAGCCUUGCUCCUAUCGGUCAGGCCCAUAAAGACACUAAUUUUGUAGGAAACAAGUAAAAAUAGUCACACAAAAACCACAUCGCUGAAGGAACAAAGAAAGCUCGGAGGGAAAAUAAAAAAUGAAACAUGCUAGAAUCCUAUUGCACUAACUAUCAUACUACUAAGAUUUUCAAAGUAUUCCACCAACCGGCUAACCAACAAACGAGGCCAGAAAAUACAUGAAAAAGAAAGAAUCCAUUCAUCUAUCAAAAGGUUGCUAUGUUUGAUUAGUUGUGGUUGACUAAGAUGAGAUAUAGACAAAACAAGAUACAUUGCCAUGCUUUGUGCGCCACAAAAGAACAUACUCCCUCCGUACCGAAAUACUUGUAGUUGGUGAAAACUAGUACAAGUUCCCCCAACUACAAAAUUUCGGUACAGAGGGAGUAGAAAACAAAUACAAAAAUGACCCACCUGUGAUAUUAUCUCCCAAAGACAAAAUCUGACUCAAAGGGCAUUUGGUCUAGUGGUAUGAUUCUCGCUUACGGUGCGAGAGGUCCUGAUUUCAAUUCUCUCAAUGCCCCUCUUUUUUUUCCCUUUAAUUUUUUCCCAUUUUUACACAUAUAGCGGAAUUUCUUUCAUGUAGCUAGCCGGCGAAUUAUAGAUGACAUGAAAUCAAUCUGUGUGAAGUAGCGUUGCAUUCAGAGAUAUAGUCCAAUGCCGGAAUCAUCUUCUUCCUUGGAGCUUAGUUUACCCACUGCGAUCUCCGAUGAACCAAGGCGGGCGGCAUGGCUGCGGUCUGUCAAGACAGCUAGCUCCAACAAAAAAUUCCCUUUUUCAAGGGCCUUUUCCCCCCUCAAUUGUAAAUAGUUCAUCAACGUCUCAUCAAGUCACACCUUGACUUCCAGUAGAGUUAAACAUCUGUCUGAUAAAUAAAUAAAUAAAUAAACGACCACACGAUCUUCAUAAGCAUCAUCGGGGCUCGAUCAUGUGGCAGUAAUUAAUACUUCCAGCAACGCAGAAUGACCAACAAUAUUAUUAAUGUCUAGUGCAGAAGCAUAUCAAGGAACCUGGAAAAAUAGGGCGAACGCCUUAUGAAUCACACUAAGGGCUAGUUAAUGAUUCCAUUCCAUGAGAAGAAGAAGAAAUCAUCAAGCAAAACCACAGUCUGAAAGAGUAAACCAGCUCAGAUAAAUACCCACGAAGAGCAUAAAAAAACUUCAGGCCCACUGGUCUUUUCAGUCACCAUGGCAUAGCAACCAGCGAUGUAUACCCCAUUAGAAAAAAAAACACCUUAUAUAUCAUUCAAAUGCUUCACCUUCACUAAUGCCGUUGCCUAGGCACAAACAUAUAUAACUUGGAAAAGCGACUGACACAAAAAAGGAAGGGAUUACAAUAGUACGACAGUUUAGAUGAGCCGCAACAGGUGCGUAGUUGUUUAUCGACUUGGAAAAAGUUAUCACUUUGGUACAAGAAUUCGGAAUAGAUAAAAUGGACAGCACUAACUCGUUUUGGUAAUCCACAAAAUAUCAUGCUUGUCCACUUCACAGCAAUACCCAUGCCAUGAAUAUGUCAUUGACAGACUUACAAUAGAUCGAUACAAGCAGAGCAAGAUGGACAGAGGAAAAAGGCCCCCAUUAAAUAAGCUUAUUAUAGAGGUACCUUCUGGAAUGCCCAUCACCAAUGCCACAAACAUAAUUAGUCAGUAUUUUGAUGAAAAACAAUUGAUACAGGAAGGAAUGGAUUAUAGGACAGUUUAGAUUCAGAAACUACACUUGGGAAAAGUUAGUUGCUUCGGUACCAGAUUAGGAGUAGAUAAGCAAAAAAUUACACCGAACUAGCAAAUACAUGGCAUUCAUAUGUGCUCACAACAAUACCUUCGGAAAUUUUCAUGUACUAUUCAUAAGUUUCCAACUUAUACUACGUCUAUCUACGUAAGAAUACCAACUUAUGCGCAUGACUGCUAGACAAGGACAAUGCCCUUGAGUGAUAUUGUCCUUAAAGAGUUCAUCCAGAAACAAUUGAAGCGACAUGCAAUAAAAUGAUCAUUUAAAUCUCAUGGAUUAGUUGAGUUUCAUGUGAUUCAUCUAUUGAACACAGAAGCUGCAAAUGCUCUAUAAUCUAUUUAAGACGCGCCUCUACGUACACUCUGUGCACAUUAGACUGGACUUUGUGGGUCAGUAUGAAUAUUUUUGCGGACCUCUGAUGAGGUGUUAUCAUUGAUGGCACACAACGGGAACUUGGAACCACAUCCGCUGCGGAACCCGUGCCUCCAAGAGGGACGAAGGAUUAUCAAGAUGGAGGUGAUGAUGGUGGCAGCAAGCAAAGCAAAGUCAAGCUAACAGAGGAGCAGAAUGCACGCAUGGAGGCUAACCGGCUCAAGGCGCUGGAGAGGGCGGCAGCAGCCUGAGAACAUGCUCCAAGUGCUAAUAGAGAAGUUUGUAAAAGUUGCUAGAAAAGCCUGGAAAGUUUAGAACAGCUGGCAGAUUUGUGAACCUUGAAAGGAGUAGAAUAGCUGGUAUCAACCGCCUUUUUAUGGCUCCUGUUUUCAGCCUUUUGAACAUGGAAAGGAAGGUUUCUGGAAUAUCCAAGAAUAUUGAUAGAGGACCUGAUGCUCUCAACUCAAUUUGACAACAACCAGCCAUCAUUUGCACAAAAUUACUCUGCUAUGAGGAACCUCAAGCUCUGAAAAUUGUCUGCUAGCCAUCAUUUGCACAAAACAUCCAGAAACUGCAAGGGGUUACAUAUGAACUCAUCAGAAGCAUCCUAAUCAGAGAAAUAACAAAUUCAUUCACUCAUGCAGAUAAAAGCAUCAACUUGCUGACAGCAUAUCCUGCUUACAUUCAGUGUUCAUCUAGACUAAGGACAUGGAAUAAAAGGGGGGACAUAAACCGAAGUCUUCCAGCACAAACAUCAGUACAUAAUAUAAACCGGAGUCUUAGACCUCAGUGUUGGUCAAACUCAACUUGCUGACAUCAUAUCCUGCUUACUCCCUCCGGUCCUUUUUACUCUGCACAUUGGAUUUGUCGAAAGUCAAACUUUACUAAGUUUGACCAAAUUUAUAUUAAAAAUUAUUAGCAUCUAUAAUAUCUAAUAAAUAUAAUAUGAAAAUAUAUUCCAAGAUGAAUCUAAUGAUAUUGGUGUUGUUAUGUGAAUGUCUACAAUUUUUUAUAUAAACUUGGUCAAAGUUGGAUGAGAUUGACUUUGGACAAACCUAAUAUGCAGAGUAAAAAGGACCGGAGGGAGUACAUUCAUACUAAUACAGAUAUCAAACCACAUCAGCACAAUCUUGAACAUCCGCCCAAGCAAGACCAAAACGAGUAGCAAGCAAGCUCAGAUCUGCAGACAUGUAUUUAAUCAGAAAAAUUAAGUUGAUGCAAUGGGAAAUUUCCCUAUCCAAACUUCUUAGGAAGGAGGCACGUGCUAAACUGCGGAGUACACCAUAACUUAGGAAGAAGGCUCCCAAGCUGCUCAUUUUGCAGUUUGGAAGCAAUAUACACAAAAAUUGGCACACCAUAACAGGUGAAUCCUAUCUGUUCUUGGAAACAGAACAUGGUAAAUAAGGAGUGCUCACAAAUAUUAGAUUCAGAGCCUUCAAACAUCAACUUACAGGUUAUGCAACAUUCUUGUUUUGAACAUCUUCGUUCAACUGAUGCAAGCGUGAAUGCCAUUUCCUCUCCUAAGAUAUGGAGCAAUAAAAACUAGCUGUCGAAACUAGUGUGUAAUCUUUCUUUUCAGUUAGCAUUCUCAAUCACAUACAUGAGAGCUAAAACAUGCAUGCAGAAUCAAACCAUGAACUGACUACUUGUCCUAGCUAGUUUGACAAGGUAGUCAAGCCCAAUAGAACAAUAAUUAACUUUCUAUAUAACCAUGGGAGUAGAAUUUUGAAGCAACUGCAGUUGAUGCAAUGGGAAUCUUUCCUAUCUGCAAAAUUACAGAGUAAAAUAUAGCUUAAGAACAUAUUGCUGUGCAAAAGCUUAUUCGUGCUUCCCAAGAAUCCUAUAGCCAUCUUAUUGCAGUAAAGCAAGAUAAAUAAAAAAUAGCAGACCAUAACAUGUGAACUCUAUGCUCUUGAAAAUACAGAGUACUCAUAUAAGCUUAUAAGACCAUCGAUUGGCCACCUCUCCUAGCUAGUUUGACGUGGUAGUCAAGCCCAAUAGAACAAUAAUUAAUUCUCUAUAUAACCAUGCGAAUAGAGCAAGCAUAGCCUGCACCCAAUGGCAACAUAAACUGAAAUAAUUAGGCUUACCGGUUGAUCAGAUAGUUGGUUCCGAUAACAGCGGUGGGAAGCUAAAGUAUGGGAGGGCACGUCUAGGAUUGAAGGUAUUCUCCAUCUUUGUGCAGACUUUGGUAAUAUCAUAAGUCUUGACCUCCAUUGAGUAGCAAUCCACAUUCCCAACAUGAAUACCUUCUGGAGCGCCUCGGAAGAACAAGAAUCCCUCGGCUGCACGCAUUGUGCAAAUGGAAUGAUACUGCCCAGGAAGCUGUGUGAUCUUCUCUAGCUUCCACUGCUGCGAACUAUUCUUCAGAGAGGUAUGGUAGAGGGCAAAGGAUCCAUGUUGACCGACAAGGGAAAACAUCUCAAGGGCUCCUUCUCGGCCCAUCACAACGGCAUUUGCGACGAUGACCAAAGCUCUGGUCAGGCAGAUCGCUGAGCUCCAGAUGGUAGCCAGUGAGAAGGUCGACAGUUGAGAACCUCAAAGUGCGCGUGUCCAACACCAUCAAAUGGUCACUCCAGCCAUAAGGCUGUGUCCAGUAGAAGCAGCAGCGCACGCAGUCAAAAUAGGACAUGCGUUCCAACGAAGGUGAAGUGGGAGGCUCGACCAUAGACCAUCGGAUGGUUGUGGACGGGAGCACAAAGAGGACAAGCUUCGUCAUGUAUCUUGCUAUGCAUAUCACCUUGAAGGGCUGUUCCUCGCCUUCGUCGGUGGUGUUGGGAGCAAGCACAGCCUGGAAAUCCCAAAGGCACUCCUGCGGCUGGGCGGCGAGGUCCUCGGGUAUGGUUGGAAGCAAGACGUAUCUGCUGGACAGGGGGUCACAGACGGCGAGGUGGAAGUCGGCAGCAUUGCGGCGCUCCCGUUUGGUCUGCUGGAAUUUUGUGUAUUUUGGGCCAGCUCAAUAGCAGUUUCAGAAAUUCCUAAUAAAUCCUAAAGGCCCAUGUAGCCCAUUUGUGCAAGACAAGAGGUGGAACUGAAGUUUAGUCCCACAUUGCUAGUUUAGAGGGAGUUGGACCUCUUUAUAAGGGAGGUUCUUUCCCCAAAACAAGAGGGACAUCCACGCGCGCUCCUCCUCCGCUGCGCAGCUGAGCCGAGCCGUUACUUACCUUACCUCUGUUAGAUCGCAUGACUAGUUUUAUCCCCGUUAUAUUAGUCAUGCUUUAUCUAAUAUUGAAACAGGCUGCUCUCUUGAGUGUUCUUGGUGAGAACAUAGUUGAUGCUUAUACGUCAAUUGAUAAUGGAAAAGAUAUGUGGGACGCACUCGAGAUGACUGAAGAGCGCUCCGUGGUUGAGCAAGCUUACUGAAGCAUAAGAGGUAGGAGUUUUCUGUUCCGGAUCUCAUUGGUACUCUUGAUGUGGAAGAAAAGGCGAGAGCAAAGGACAUACGUGCUCGAGGUAUUGAGGGAGGAUCUAGUGCCAAUCUGGUACAAAAGAAGAACUUCCAGCCCCACAAAGUUCAAGAACAAGGGCAAGUUUGAUGGUAAAGCAAAGUUUGAUGGGAAGAACAAGGUUGUGCAGCACAUGAACUUCAAGAAGAAGAAUGACAAGAAGAAAGGUGUUUGUCAUGUGUUUGGAGAUCCUGAUCAUUGGGCUACUAGUUGCCCUAAUCGCUAUGACAAGCAUCAUCUUGGAAAAGGCAGCAAGACCGCUAAUGUAGUCAUUGGAGACACUGACAUGAAGGAUGUUGGGUAUGGUAUAUUUCCCACUAUUCUUUCAGUGUGUCAUUCUUCUGAUUGGUUAAUUGACACGGGUGCUAAUGUGCAUUUAUGCGGUGAUAUUCCCAUGUUUCCGUCUUAUCAGACCGCAGGCACUUCCACCAUGCUGAUGGUCAACGAUUCAAGUGCUUUUGUUCGUGGUGUUGGCACGGUCGAUCUGAAGUUUACUUUAGGGAAGAUCGUGCGGCUGAAGAACGUGCAUUAUGUCCCCUCCGUCAAUAAAAAUCUUGUUAGCAGAUCUCUUCUAUGUAGAGAUGGCUACAAGCUUGUCUUUGAGUCGAAUAAAUUUGUAAUAUCCAAGUAUGGAACCUUUGUUGGUAAAGGCUAUGAGUCAGGAGGCCUGUUUCGUUUAUCCUUAUCAGACGUUUGCAAUAAAGUUGUUAAUUAUGUUCGCAAUAAUAGUGAAUCAAAUGUGUGGCAUUCACGUCUCUCUCAUGUUAACUUUGGUUGCAUGUCGCGAUUAGCAAAGUUGAACUUAAUCCCUAGUUUCACCACUGUCAAGGGAUCUAAGUGUCAAGUGUGUGUGCAAGCUAAGCAACCUCGUAAGUCUCACACGAUUGCGGAAACGAGAAAUCUUGCACCACUAGAACCCCUGUUCAAGAAUUCAUCCGAUUAACGAGUUAACUUGCCGAUUAAUCUCUACUCAUAGGGUCACCGAGUAGUCGAUAAACCAAAAAAUCGUCUGAUUAAUUGAUUAAAUGGCCGAUUAACUUGCCGAUUAGCCGAUUAAUCCCCUACUUGCUAGCCAACCGAGCAGCUACCAGUUAACGAUUUCCUCAACAAUGACUAGAACUCAUACAUUCAGAUCUAUGUGAAAUGAAUGGUGUUUUGACAAAAGGUGGAAAGAAAUAUUUCAUGACGUUAAUUGACGACUCCACUAGAUACUGCCGUGUGUAUCUUAUGAAAUCUAAGGAUGAGGCUUUGAUCUUUUUCAAGAUCUAUAAAGCUGAAGUGGAAAACCAACUUGAUCGGAAAAUCAAGAGGCUUAGGUCCGACCGUGGUGGAGAGUAUUUUUCCAAUGAAUUUGAUGCUUUUUGUGCGGAACAUGGUAUAAUCCAUGAGAGGAUGCCUCCCUAUUCACCUCAGUCAAAUGGGGUGGCCGAAAGAAAGAAUCGUACUCUAAUUGAUUUGGUUAACGCCAUGUUAGACACAUCGGGUCUCUCCAAGGCAUGGUGGGGGGAGGCGAUAUUGACUGCAUGUCAUGUCCUAAACCGAGUUCCCACAAAGAACAAAGAGUUAAUUCCAUUCGAGGAAUGGGAGAAGAAAAGAUUAAAGCUCUCUUAUCUAUGAACCUGGGGUUGUUUGGCGAAAGUCAAUGUGCCGAUUCCAAAGAAGCGCAAGCUUGGACCAAAGAUCGUGGAUUGUGUUUUCCUGGGAUAUGAUUUUCAUAGCAUUGGUUAUAUAUUCUUGGUUGUAAAAUCUGACGUACUUGACAUGCAUGUCGGUACGAUCAUGGAGUCGAAUGAUGCGACUUUCUUUGAAGAUAUCUUUCCCAUGAAGGAUAUGGCUACCUCAUCUAAUUAGGAGAUGCCUAGUUCAUUGAAUCAGAAACCAGUUACAAUUACUGAACCUGCCAUUUUGAUGGAACACUUUGAAAAUCAUGUGGAGGAGAUCAAUGAAGUUCCUACUAGGAGCAACAGAGGACUGCCAAGUCCUUUGAUGAUGAUUUUCUUGUGUAUCUCAUAGAUGACACUCCCAGUUCUAUUUCAGAGGCCUAUGCAUCUGAAGAUGCUGACUACUAGAAGGAAGCGGUUCGUAGCGAGAUGGAUUCCAUCUUGGCGAAUGAAACUGGGGAGAUAACUGAUCGUCCUUAUGGGUGCAAACCUAUAGGAUGCAAAUGGGUAUUCAAGAAGAAGCUUAGGCCUGAUGGUACUAUUAAAAAGUACAAUUCUCGGCUCGUGGCUAAUGGUUAUACCCAAAAGGAAGGUGAAGACUUCUUCGAUACUUACUCACCUGUGGCUCGACUGACCACUAUUCGAGUUCUACUUUCACUAGCUGCCUCACAUGGUCUUCUCGUUCAUCAAAUGGAUGUUAAGACAGCUUUCCUAAAUGGAGAGUUGGACGAGGAAAUCUAUAUGGAACAACCAAAUGGGUUUGUACAAGAUGGUCAGGAAGGAAAAGUGUGCAAGUUGUUGAAGUCUUUGUAUGGAUUGAAGCAAGCACCUAGACCGUGGCAUGAGAAGUUUGAAAGAACUUUAACUGACAGCUUUCCUAAAUGGAGAGUUGGACGAGGAAAUCUAUAUCGAACAACCUAAUGGGUUUGUACAAGAUGGUCAGGAAGGAAAAGUGUGCAAGUUGCUGAAGUCUUUGUAUGGAUUCAAGCAAGCACCUAGACCGUGGCAUGAGAAGUUUGAAAGAACUUUAACUGCUGCAGGCUUUGUUGUGAACGAAGCUGACAAAUGUGUGUACUAUCACCAUGGUGGGGGCGAGGGAGUUAUCCUUUUCUUGUAUGUUGAUGACAUACUGAUUUUCGGAACAAAUCUGAAGGUUAUUAAGGAGGUCAAGGAUUUCCUAUCUCGUUGUUUUGAGAUGAAGGAUUUAGGAGUGGCUGGUGUCAUUCUAAACAUCAAGUUGUUGAGAGACGAUGAUGGUGGGAUUACAUUGCUUCAAUCUCACUAUGUGGAAAAGAUCUUGAGUCGCUUUGGCUACAGUGACUGCAAGCCCUCUCCAACACCAUAUAAUGCUAGUGUGUUGCUUCGAAAGAAUCAAAGAAUUGCUAGAGACCAAUUGAAAUAUUCUCAGAUUAUUGGCUCGCUUAUGUAUUUAACCAUUGCUACAAGACCUGACAUCUCUUUUGCUGUUAGCAAACUGAGCCGGUUUGUCUCAAAACCAGGAGAUGUGCAUUGGAAAGCUCUAGAGAGAGUUUUGCGUUAUUUGAAAGGCACUGCGAAUUAUGGAAUUCACUACACUGGGCACCCAAAGGUGCUUGAAGAGUAUAGUGACUCAAACUAGAUCUCAGAUGCUGAUGAGAUAAAGGUCACGAGCGGAUAUGUAUUAACUCAUGAAGGUGGCGCUGUUUCUUGAAAGUCUUGCAAGCAAACCAUAUUAACGAGGUCAACAAUGGAAGCAGAACUCACAAUACUAGAUACAACUACGGUCGAAGCAGAUUGGCUUCGUCGGCUCUUGAGUGACUUGCCGGUUGUUGAGAAACCUUUACCGGGUAUCCUUAUGAACUGCGACAAUCAAACUGUGAUCACGAAAGUGAGCAGCUCAAAGGAUAACAUGAAGUCAUCAAGACACGUUCAGAGAAGGUUAAAGUCUGUCAGAAAAAUGAGAAACUCUGGAGUUAUUGCAUUGAAUUAUAUCCAAAUGUCUAAAAAUCUGGCAGAUCCUUUUACUAAGGGUUUAUCACGUAAUGUGAUAGAUAAUGCAUUGACGGAGAUGGGUAUGACCCACAAUAUGAGUUGUUCACAGUGGUAACCUAUUCUUUGUGAUCGGAGAUCCCGUGAAUUAGAUGUGGAAGACAAAGUGUUGGUCAAUUGGGAGGAGAGUACCCUUACUGUUAAAAAUACCACUCCAUGAAGAUGCAAUACUCUCCUAAAUCUGCAUGGCAAGUUGAUGUAUAUCUUAAUGUGUUCUAAGUGGCUCAUUGAAGCAGAGAUGUUGUCCUGCCGAAUAUCUUUUGAAGAACGCACCUAUAUGAGUCUGAUUGUUAAACAUCACAAUCUAUGAGAGUACGGUUCUCUCUAGUAAACUCAUGAAAGGUCUUGGAGUAUGAUGCAUAAGCUCCACCCGCAGGGAAGACCCACGGUAGCCACGUAUCGUUCAAGGCUUUGUGUGAAGCUAGAUUCGUGGAAAACUUGCAGUUCAAGGCCCGGUCCACUGUUCAAGUUGCUUACUAGUGUAGCAUAGAGUUCUAGGUGGAAGUUCAACUUAACAGUCUCCACUGUAGUACCGGUAUAUAAAACAGUGUUUUGGAACCAAAGGCAAAUUUUGUGUGCCUCUAGAUAUUGUGGGGGAUUGCUGGAAUUUUGUCUAUUUUGGGCCAGCCCAAUAGCAGUUUCAGAAAUUCCUAAUAAAUCCUAGAGGCCCAUGCAGCCCAUUCGUGCAAGGCAAGAGUUGGAACUAAAGUUUAGUCUCACAUUCCUAGUUUAGAGGGAGUUGGACCUCUUUAUAAGGGAGGUUCUUUCCCCACAUGUAUGAGCAUGAGAACAAGAGGGACAUCCACGCGCGCUCCUCCUCCGCCGCCCGCCAUGCCUCGUCAUAACGCGCCGCGGGUUGCGGGAAUGAGCCGAGCCGAUGUGUAAAUUUUUGCCACGCACGAUGGGUAUACGAACGGUCACACAGGAGCUGAAACAUUUUUGCUGUAGUGGAGAUUGAAUACGAACGGAGCACCUCUUCGCCUGCUGCUUGUUCGCUUCGUCUUCCUUUGUUGCUUCACCUCCCGUCGUAUCAUCUUCGCCUCUCUCUCCUGUGCCUAUCACUACAAAAAAAUACACUUCCGUGAUGAUACGUGUUUGUCAAAGUAGGUCACUUUUUUGCCAUGCAUGUACAUCCAUGACAAAUUUAUGACAGAAUCAAGAUAGUCAUACAUGUGAUGUCGUACAAGUGUUCCAUGACAUUACCAAAAUUAUCAGCACAGAAGUGUCCACUUCCGUGUAAAUAAAUCGCGCGUCACAAUAGUGCUUUCAUCAAGGGUGACCGACACGUGGCAUCCACCGUAACGGAACGCUGUUAAGCUAUCGGGUCGGGUUUUGGAUCCGAUAACCCGUUAACAUCCCUGAUCAAUGGGGAUUUUCCACGUGUAAAAUCAUUAUUGGCUAGAGGAAACACGUGUCGGCUCAUCGUUGGGACAGAUGUCAUCCACUCACUGGACAGAAGGCGCCUAUGAUACGUCGACACGUGACACGGCCCAACAGUGGCCCAUUCCUGUGAAAAGGCCGGCUCAUUUGACUUGGUCAAAAGCUGGCGGGCCGGCCCAUGGAAAGCCUGUUAACGGCCUGUUCGCAUAUAGCCCAUUUACAGCCCGCUAACCCAAGGCCCGUUACACCCUAUCUGAAUUAGGCCCAGUAGCGUCAUCUGGACCGUCCAAUAUGAUUCCAGCCCAUUUUCACUUCUGGACCAUGUAUAGCCCAUGACGUCUUUCGGCCCAUAUGAGGCCCUUUGUAACUCUUGGCCCAUUAGCGGCCCGUGCUGAAAGUGGCCCGUAAUGAACAGUGUAUUACUUUACACCUAUUAAUGGCCCGUGGUGAAACUGGCCCGUAAUGAACAGUGUAUCACUUUAUACCCAUUAACGACCCAUUAUUCUGUUGGGCCGUUUCCAGCCCAAGUUAACUUUCGGCCUUCUGAGGGCCCAUUUAUUCUUGGGCUCAUUUGCAGCAUUCGGUUACUUACGGCCCGUUACUGUCAUUUUCUGUUUGUGGGCCAAAUUCAGCCCGUCGUUACAGUCGGCCCAUUUGUGGACUGUUAGUCUGUUGGGCCAUUUUCUUAGCAUCACCAAAUACGGCCUAUUAACGGCCCGUUAUGGUCAACCCAUAAAACGUACAAUUUCCAUUAAAGGCCCGUCUACGGCCCAUUAAAGGCCCGUACAAGACCCAUAAAUGAGCCGGCGGCCCAUGGAUCCUACGAGACGUACAAGGCCCAUGGAUCCUACGAGACAUAGAAGGCCCAUGGAUCCUACGAGACGUAGAAGGCCCAUAGAUCCUACGAGGCGUAGAAGGCCCAUGGAUACGACGGCCUGUGAAGGGCCAUGGUCGGGCGAAUUGGCCCCCGUUUGAACGAUAUAGCAUAUUCAAAGAAUUAUCCUACUCAAUACUAUCACCUCUAAAAAGCCUACACUAUUACAACAAAGAGAUCAAGGCAUAGAAAGGUAGAAUAAUCCUACACUAUACAAUAAAGAAAUUACAGCCGAUUAUACCCACUGGGCAGUAUGGUUCGGCACAGGUGAUAAUAAAGCAUACACAAACGGCAAAUUACAUACACUGGGCAAAUACAGCUCAUACAUCAUGGACGCGCAUCAACUUAACUCCAUUUGAACUAUAAUCUCUUCAGAAAAUAGGAUUGGCCGGAUUCAGAUAGCACAAAUUUCAGUUUGCAAAAUCUCUAAUUCCUUCAUGGUUACCUCAGUGUCUUGUUUCAUUUUUUUGACUCCUGCAUCUAAUACCUGCAUGUCCAGUCUCAACUUGUUGAUUAUACGUUGACAAUCAUGUACACAUUGUCUUGCCACCUCUAGUUGAUGCUCGAGAACAUCAUCACAUUCCAAUUCCAAUCCAUAAUCAUUCGGUAACGGCCAUGCCGCACUGCUCGCAGAUCUUUGUGUUGAUGUCACUUCAUCCUGAAAUGUUUCUGUAAGUACACAUGACUAGGGCAAAAAUAUAGUUACAACAGUGAAGCGAACAAGACACUAUUUUGUACUACAUGGCAAAACAAGACUAACAAUAAUGUUACACGUCACUUUCAAAAAAAAUGUUACACGUCAUGAGCAUAAGCAGGUGAUAUUUUAAAAAUUAUAAAAAAGAUAGUAUGUGCAGCCUGCAUAAGAAAUCCCUCUUAGCUCACCAGAGGAGCAUGAUGUUGGGGCCCAAUCGAAAAUACAGACAAGUUACAAAUUUAGAUAGCACGUUGCGUAUAAGUAAGCAAGCAGUUGACCAUUCUGUGCCUUAAUUAAAGUCUUAGGGGGCAUAAUGAAAAGCAGAGGGUUUCAUACAAACAUACUACAGCAGGCAAAACUAUGCAAUCAUUAGCGUAGUAUAAACUAGAUUGUGAGCCUCAUGCAAUAAUAGUUGGUUAAUAGACUUCAAAGCUUCAUGCACACUUCGGCAGAGUAGUUAAAUGGUAAGGCCUUUAAUUAUGUCAACUAAUAGUGAUACAAGUACCGAACAUCACGCAUGAUUAUUUGGGCAUCUCAUUAACUGAGGACAAAUAAAGCAAUUGAAAAGAGAAAAUUAACUAUGCCUGAAACAAACAAGGAAUUGAACUGUUGAGUUGCAUACAGUGACUUACCUUAGCAGGUUGAAGAGGCUCAGUGCAGCUCCUACUUCUCUUGCAAGGCUCCUUCCUAACAUCUUAUACUUGGAAAUCCUCAAUCUUAUCUUCAUUGCACCCCCUCUGCAAGGUGACACAAACUAGUUACUCGUCUCCUUGGAAGAUAAAUAUGCAUACUUUCUAGUCUGUGAACACAAAAGGAUGAGAUUAUAACAAAAAAACACCACCUAAUUAUGUCAACUAGUUACUCGUCUCCUUGGAAGAUAAAUAUGCAUACUUUCCUAACAUACUUGCCUACUGUAAUGUACAACCAAACCUUUAUGUCACCUAUGAGUUAGACAAGGCCCCACCACAGCAGCCCUUAGUGUUUAAAUCGUUGACAAGAUCUGUUAGAGUUUUAGGUCAAGAACAACAAGUAAUCAAAGCAAACAGUCCUAGUAUGGCUGGCUGAUGCAAACAAGCAAUUGAACAGAUGUGUGAGCAAAUCUUACAUAUCAGGAAAAGAAGCAAAGAAGGAGGCUUAAAGACCAUCACUUGACUGACUAGAUUUAAGGGGCAUUUAAACAUCAUGUGCAACGUAUGAACUAACAUAAACAUUGCAUAUUCCAGAUUCUACAAUGGAAUGCACAUGUAUUAGGUUAUGCCAUGUAUGAUGAUGCCUAAAUGUGCAGAUAGCAGGUAGGAGUGAUUCAUCAUUGCACGCACAAUUGAAUUGCAGGUUAAGGGCCAGUUCAAUUCCGCCUUUUCAGGGCAUAUUGUCAAAAUAAGCCAUAAAAGAUGUAAAGAAGUCAUUUUUUAGUUAUGGGCUUGGGCUUAACUAAUUUCGCUUUGGAGGGGGGUGUUUCAGGUAGAACCUCACUAAAAAUUGAAGGGAAGGGGAAUAGUGAAAUGACUCUGUUGUCUUCCUAUAUUACACUCAAAAUGCAACUGCUGACGCCCGUGUCACACCUGACCCUCAAGUAAAAACAAACACACAAGCAUUCAUUGCCUUGCCCGCUUGCAUCUCCUCUCCCCUUUCCCUCUACCUCGAUCCCCUGCCUGCAGCACUAGGGUUCCUCCAGCGAGCCAUCGCCACUGGAGCACUACAUCUUGUACUUUUUCAUUGUGUAACCCUAUCUGCAAGUUGACACGGCUAAUUUCAGACAUCUCUACAUGAUACUACAUUGCAUACCCCUUGCGCAUAUUUAGACCACCAAUUAACGAUUGUGUGCGUACCAUAAACUAGCCAUCACUCUGUAUGCUGGACUAGCAGGCACUCUAAGGGAGCCUAAUGUAGUGCACUGGAAUUCCUACAUGCCACCUACGAUUUUGUGUAAUGUACUGCCCCUGUUCCUAAAUAUAUGUCUUUGUAGAGAUUCCAGUAUGGACCACAUACAGAUGUAUAUAGAUGCAUUUUCGAGUGUAGAUUCACUCAUUUUGCUCCGUAUGUAGCCUAUAGUGGAAUCUCUAGAAAGACUUAUAUUUAGGAACGGAGGUAGAAGGUAGUAUCAUGUAUGACAUCUACAUAUCUAAUUUAGCAGCCAGUAGUAGAAAUCAUUGUCUGCACAAAGGGAUUACUGGUCGAAAAUCCUAGCAAAGCACGCUGGCAGGCAUAGAACAAUACAAGAGAGAGAGAGAGAGAGAGAUGCGCUUACAAGAUCAUAGCAAUGCCUCAGUCCAGGAUCUUGGUUGGCCAAGCUGUUAGAUCUAGAAGAAAUAUCGUCCUUGUAGUUUUUGCCAGCUGCAUAACAGAUAACAGCGACCGGUUAGUAUAUUUGAAGUACAUCGGGCAGGUGAUGCUGGACGGGUUUAAAGGUGACAAGUACCUAGGCCGUGGCGGGUGCUUGGCAUCUCUCCAGACUGUGGGAAUUAGGUUAGAAACAUUGAGGAUGAUGACGCUGCGCUGGCUGUCGGGGUCCGGUAAGGAGAUCUAGAACCGUCGAGUAGGGUGUUUGUGGAGCGGCUCCGGUAGGGUGGACUACGGUGUGGGCGAAUCGGAUCUAUGGCCGUGGACGAGGGCGUAGGUGAAGCUGCUCCGGUGGUUGGGUUAAGGAUGGUGUCGACGAUGCGGAUCUGCGACCGUGGACGGGGCGUCAGAAGCUGCUCCGGUGGUUGGGUUAAGGGUGGUGUCGACGAUGCGGAUCUGCGGCCGUGGAUGGGGCGUCAGAAGCUGCUCUGGUAGGUUGGAUGAGGGUGCGAGGAAGAAGAUCUGAGGCCGUGGACUUGUGAGUUGGCAAAGCGGCCCCGGUAGGGUUGAGAAUGGUAUAGGCAAAGCUACUCCGGUAGGGUUGAGGAAGGUGUCGGCGACGGGGGCGUCGGUGGGGCGGCUCCGGGGGGUGUGGACGAAGAGUCUCCGGUGGGGAGUACGAAUGAGCCGUUGCAGAUGCGCGGCGGUUCAUGAGAGUAUCGGCGAAGUAGAUCCGGCGCCGUGGACAAGGCCAGCACUGAAUGGGCUGUGGUAUAAUGGUGGAUGGGCAGUAUACUUGUUUCUAGGGGAGGUGGGAGGGGUAGAUGCGGCCGCAGAAGCAGAUCCGGCGAGGUGGACACUGCUGGCAGUGAAUGGGCUAUGGUACGCCGGUGGAUGAGCAGUCUAGGGUUUCGAGAGGGGAGGGGAGAAAGGGCGAUGAAGUACGGACGGCGUGAUGUAAGAUGCUCUGGUGCUGUGGAGUUGGUCGUUUUGCGGGAGGGGGAGAGGAAAUGGGGGUGCCGUGUAGUGGGGGAACCGGAAGUUACCAAAGCAGCCCCGACCUAUCAUGUAGAUGAGGGCGGUAUUGUAACUGUUGGUCUCCGUGCACCAAGGACAAAAGGGGGAUUUCACAUGCUAAAGACUAAGGUGGCGGAAAUUUAAGAAGGAGGCGGGAGAUUUUGCCGCCCAUGGGAUCAUUCAUAUCCAGUUUCAACUAAUUUUGGACCGUGCUAGCGGGAAGGUCAUGCUAGACUGUGUACACGGGGCACGCGUCAGCAGUUAAUAACUGGUGUGAAGUCCACCCCAGAAAAAAGACAAUAACUCAGGAUGAUGCGCCGAUAACUUGGACGUUCACACGGGCGCGGCCAAUCGUACGGGUGUAGUGGCGCGUUCACAAAAAAGGAUCAAACGCUCAGCCUAUGUACUUCUCGUGUAAAUAGAAAAUUUAGUGCCAUUGGUUAUUUACUUUAAACAUAAUGCAUUGACGUGUUAGUGUAGAGGCGCACAAAAAGAAAUGGAUAUUGUAGUCAGCUACUUAAAAGUGUUACCUCAUAUGAUUACAUAGCCUCCAUUUCAUAAAUUGCGUACCUGUUGAAUUCAUAUAUGAAUAUUACAUAUAUUACUUCAAAAUAGAAACUUAAAUCAUCCAAGACUAAUGAAUUUGAAUGCAAGAGUAACAAUGGUGCAUGUUCAUGAUAGCUACAUUGGUUGUUUGAAGAAACAUCACUGUAACUUUGGCAUGCACAACUAAAAAGGCUUAUUUAAAUAGAAAAAAAUGUGAUAUGUGAGUGUCCAAUCUUUAUAGCGUUGAAUCGAUAUUGUACCUUUGGCCACGAUACGAAGUAGAUAUUGACUUAUGUUCAAGCGAUGCACGUCCACGAUCGCUUGAUAGUGAUACGUGAAUGAAUUGUGCAAUCUCUCUCACACGCAUACAUAUCUCAUUUCCCUGUUGGCAUCAGAAUCACACACGCGCACUUUGUGUAUUUCUCUCCCUCCGUCAGGGUUAAAUUCGUCUUUCUACCCCGUCCUACAAGUCUAUCACACAGAAACACACACGCUCUCUAUGUCUAACACGCCCACCCCUUUAAUUCCGCCCACCCACAACCACUAAUGUCUCUCACACAUAUGCUAUCUACCUAUCCCUUAAUAUAGCUAGAUAUGUGUCACACAAACUCCUUCUCCCUACUAGCAAGAUGCCCAUGCGUUGCACGGAACAUCAAGAUGCAUUUGUAUGAGAAGUUUAUCUUGUGGGAGAAAAGGAUGAACGAGGGAAUGCCUUAUUUGCAAAUGCGGAGAGGGGUGUGGGUAUCUUUUUGAAAAAUUGCCAUAGUUUCCUUCCUGUCCGUCGGAUAUAAAUUGGAUGGCCUAUAUUGCAGGAUGGCAGGAACACCAUCAUCACCAACUCUGUUUUUUAUAAGAGUAGAGAUAUGUGAGUGUCACUGCCCCCCCCCCCCACACACACACCCACACUUCNNNNNNNNNNNNNNNNNNNNNNNNNNNNNNNNNNNNNNNNNNNNNNNNNNNNNNNNNNNNNNNNNNNNNNNNNNNNNNNNNNNNNNNNNNNNNNNNNNNNNNNNNNNNNNNNNNNNNNNNNNNNNNNNNNNNNNNNNNNNNNNNNNNNNNNNNNNNNNNNNNNNNNNNNNNNNNNNNNNNNNNNNNNNNNNNNNNNNNNNNNNNNNNNNNNNNNNNNNNNNNNNNNNNNNNNNNNNNNNNNNNNNNNNNNNNNNNNNNNNNNNNNNNNNNNNNNNNNNNNNNNNNNNNNNNNNNNNNNNNNNNNNNNNNNNNNNNNNNNNNNNNNNNNNNNNNNNNNNNNNNNNNNNNNNNNNNNNNNNNNNNNNNNNNNNNNNNNNNNNNNNNNNNNNNNNNNNNNNNNNNNNNNNNNNNNNNNNNNNNNNNNNNNNNNNNNNNNNNNNCUUCCCAACACCGAAGGAGUAGGGUGACACCUCGAUCUUGAUACUAAUCUAUCGACUAGCUUCUCUCUCGAACAUACACACACACACACUACCCGACAUCGAAGGAGUAGGGUGGCACAUCGAUCUUGAUAAUAAUCUAUCUACUCCUCUUUCAAACACACACACACACACACACACACACACACACACUCGCUAGUUGUGCCUCUGUGCCUACCGCGCACACUCUCGAUACGUCUUUCUCUCCCCCCCCAACAAUGACAGCAGAAGGGUGACAACUCCAUCUGAUCAUAAUCUGUCAAUUGAUUUCUCUCUCAAACAUUGUGUCUCAGUGCCUCGCUCGGUAGCCCCCUCGAUAUGUAGACUUCUCACGUGCGCACAGCUGUAGUGACGAUGACGUUGAACCCAGUGUGCCUUGUUUUUACCGGCCUCAUGUGAUAGUUUUCACCCUGUUUUUUGUUAAUUAACAAGGCAAAUUUUUCUUUGUUACUACUACUGAAUCUAAAAUCAUUCGGGGCAGACAUAAAAUAUGUCACUUCAACCCAAUUAUCGCAGCAACUAUUUUAAAAGAAAUAAGCUAGCUGCCCGUGCGUUGCACGGAACAUCAAGAUGCAUUUGUAUGAGUAGUUUAUCUUGUGAGAGAAAAGGUUGAACGAGGGAAGGCCUUAUUUGCGAACAUGGAGAGACGUGUAGGUAAUUUUUUGCAAAAUUGCCAUAGUUUCUUUCCUAUCCGUUAGAUAUAAAUCCGACGGCCUAUAUUGCAGGAUGGCACGCACACCAUCAUCACCAACUCUAUUUUCUACUCCCUCCGCCCGCAAAUACUUGUCAUCAAAAUGGAUAAAAAGAGAUGUAUCUAAAACUAAAAUACGUCUAGAUACAUUUCCUUUUAUCCAUUUUGAUGACAAGUAUUUCCGGACGGAGGGAGUAUUUGUCUUCUUAGAGAUUUCAACAAGUGACUAUGACCGGACCUUACCAACAUACUCAAAAAGUUAGUCUAUAAUUUUGAUGUUACCCUCUUUUCUUGGCAGUGCAGUGCCAUCUGGAUACCUCAUAAAUAAAUAAAGUACUACAUGAUACUAAUAUAUGAUACAUGGCGCAGGAGUGCUAAGUAUUAUUAAUAUAGUUUUGCUAGAACUCAUCUGGAUGAGAUAUAAUUUGGUCUCAUUCAUCUUUUAUAGCCAUUGGAUGUGAUGCUAUAUAAGAUGUGUGUGUGCUGACGUGGGUUGUAUUUGUUCUUGUUCAACAAACUGACCACUGCAUGUCAUGUUUGAUAGUCUCAAGUCUUUAAAAGCAUACAAGCCCCACAUCUCUUCUUGGUUGAUUCCUCUAUUUAUGUCAAAAAAUAAGAAACAACGUGAGAGUUAAUGCACCACGCCUAUGUGUUUACUAUUUGGUUUUCGUAGGAUGACUUAAUACUCACCUAGACGGAGGGAGUAUUCGAUUUGACAGCGGGCGGCGCAGUUCCCGAUAUGGCUUUAAUGCAGACAAGGGAGGGAGUAGCGGUUCCCGAUAUGUUGAACGGCCAAUGCAUCCUCAUUCAAUUAAUGCAUGAGGGAAGUAAUGGGAGGAGGUCCGGGAAAAGAGGCUGCACGAUGUGAAUGCAACACAGUUUGCCUCAUUGCCCUCAUAUAAAGGCGCCCCUCCAUUUCAAUGCACCUACCACAUCGUACGCACCUAAGCAUUUGCCUAAGCACCUACACUAAGCGCAAAAGAGCUCACUCCAGACCCAUGGCGGCGAUGCUCAUGAGCGGCCAGCGGCUGCACCAGAUGGUCCAUGACGCCGGCCUGCGGCAUGGCGCCGAGGAUCGUCUCCAGACGGUGUUGGAGACCGACUGGUGGAUGGCCGCCUUCGACGCUAACUACGACUCUCAGUUGGACCAGAUGAUCGUUGCCACCAGCAACAAGUUCACCGUCCUCAAGAAGCUCGCAGACGACAUCGCCGUACUCCUCCAGCCCGCGCGCGCCUGGGCUCCUCAUUGCCUGCCACCCUAAUCGGCAUCCAUGGAGGAACCUCUUUCAAGCACUAGUGGCCCUGCGACUGCCCGCCGAUGCCACGAAGAAUGCCCACCUGGAGGUCGCGCUCGCCGCGAGGCGCCUCGCCCUGCAAGAAUUUGUCGACCUACACAUCCACAUGUACGAGGAAAUCAUGUACAUAGGUAUCUACAAGGCCAGUGAGGAGCUACGACAUUGGUCUUCCUCAACCGGCUGGAAGCCUUGGAUGCCUUUGCUGAGAAGCACCUCGACCUCGCCACAAAAGCCGCCGCUCCUUAGCCGCCGGUAGGUGGCCCGGCGCACUAAGUUGAGGAGGAGGAGGUCGUACGUUCAUGGAUCCAUCUUUCUUCUUGCCUUCUGUAACCACCACUGCGAUUGCAUCAUCGUGGCGUUAAUUCUCAUUGUGAUGUUGCAUUCUCGUUCCAGUCAAUACCGACAUGUGCGAUCCCUUUGCUUAAUUAUAUGCAUCACUGUAACUAGUACUCCAUCCGUAAAUUUAUAAGUUGUGCUUACCUUUUCCAUCAACUUCGUGCAACACGCGGGCAUCUUGCUAGAAACACUAGAAUAUGUCUAUAUAAUCCGUAUGUGAUAGUCCAUUUAAAAUCUCAAAAAAGACAAAUAUUUAGGUACGGAGGGAGUAAUAUAUUAGGAGUAUAUCAAAACAAUAGUGAUUUCUUUCAAGUUUGUGAACAAAUACUACUACUCUACUACUUUGGAUCCAUCGCAACGCACGGGCACAUUGCUGGUAAAAGGAAAAGGCCUGCCGCGUUCGCGUCGCACCCCCACAUGCCCGGGAAUCGGGAGUACAACACGGCCCGUCCGGCACGACACAUAGUUUAGGGAAGGCGUAUUGCCUAGCAUUUUUACUUUCAUAUGGGACCGCCGUUGAGCAAACCGAGACCCCACCCGCCGCCGGGUUGGAAAACAGAAACGAGGGGAAGAUCUAGCUGUAGCACGGAAGCCAAGAAAUUUGGUGUCAGACGGGGCUCAUUGAUAGAGGAGGAGCAUUCCGUACUAGUACUACUCCUACUAGUACCAAGUUUGUACUCCUAAUACUAUAUUACUAGUACUACCACUAUACAACUAGUAGGUACGUGCACGGCACAACAUCGUAGGAACAAAAAAUGGGAAGAUCUUGUUUUGGGUGAUUUAUCUUUUUUUCAAUCAACGUAGUAUGAAUAAUAUGAUGUGGGGGGCACCCAUGAAGCUUAUGUGUCUUGGUUGCAUGGCUACGGGAGGUUAGAGAAAAAUAAAUAGAUAAUGUGUUUAGAGUGCACUCCACUAAAUAGAUAUAUAUACUUUGGAUCCAUUGCAACGGACCGGCACAUCUAUAUCUAUAUCCCCUAUAUAGUGUGUGAAAAACUUUGAAAGUUGGUCAUUGGAUGAAGCCAAUCCGACGGUACAAAGAUGGCAAAUCCGAGCACUACUGGCCGUUGGAUAUCAUCCACCAGAUUCUGACACAUGUAUAAUCUAGAAGACUCCAUGGUUGAACUUAAUUCAUGACUAAGGGCCUCUUUGAUUCAUAGGAUUGCAAAAACACAAGAACAGGAAAAAAGUAGGAUUGGAAUGGCAUGUUCAUUGGAUCCGUAUAGGAUUCGAGUUUGUUUGAUUGUGUCACAUGAAAAACAAAGGAUUUCUUUCAAGAGGUUGGAGUGCAUGUUAGAAUUCCUGUGAAACGUAGUACAAAUGAAUCCUUAGGAAAAUAUUCUACAUGAUUCAAUCCUACGAAUCAAACGACCAACGUAGGAAAAAUUCCUAAGGAUUCUAAUCCUUCAAAGAUCCUAUGAAAAUCCUUUGAAUCAAACAGACCCUAACUUUGCCACAACUAAGCUUAGGCAAAGUUAUUAGUUCUUCAAAACGAUAGAAACAAGUUGGCAAGCCUAAGGGAAUCUUGCCACAUUUUGUGUGUGUAUGUCAUGUGGGGCCUUAGUGUGGCUUGCCUAAGGUGUGGCUUGAAUCAAACACUCGCCUAAGUUAAUAAACUUUCAUAACCUUACAUUCCACCAAAUUUUGCCACAUGUUAGAAUCCAGAAAGCUCCACAUGUAGAAGCAUAAUGCACAAACCACCAGAAUCUCAUGCGUGCAAUGCACGUGUACCUUACUAGUACUAGUUGGUAGUAGUAAGAAACAAAUUCCAGUUUUGGCACGAGCUCGUAUCGCGGGAGCACCACAAGGCCUGCCGCAGGAGUUAUAUUUCCCUAUCGGGGCCCACGGGACCGAACUUCAGUGGCUUAGUGGUAGAAACAAGAAACGUGAUGGUCGUCGUGGUUCAACUUCCAUGGAGAAGCUGUCAUGUCUGCUGACACAUGCAUAUCAAAACUGGAGUGUUUAUAUUUCAAGCACGUGAACAAGUAUUAUUCUACUACUUUGGAUCCAUUGCAACUCACGGGCCAUCACAUUGGUAGUAGUAGUGUCCAUCUCUAUCUCUAGAGGCCUUCCCUCGUUCAUCCUUUUCUCUCACAAGAUAAACUACUCAUACAAAUGCAUCUUGAUGUUCCGUGGAACGCACGAGGAUGUUUCCUUGGGGGUCUCUCCAGCGCGGCAUUACCAUAGUUGCAAGUUGACGCCCCUUGAGAUGCCGACGUUGAGGGGCACUCGGAUUUCCUCCGAUGAGCAGGUAAGAUGAGUUUGAUCACGUAGUAAAUGCAUUCUAAAGACUACUUCCGUGUCCAUUUCCUAAUUCUCCCCCUGCCCACUGUUUCACGGGUUAGGCUCGGUGCGAGUGGAGAUUGGCUUGCAUAUGUACGGGAGGGUAUCAACAUCAAUUUGCACAACAUUUACAACGGUGAAACUGUUCCCGUAGAACCUUUGUCCAACAUUGGGAUCAGCCAUGCAACGGGCCACCACAUGAAUUGGUACGAUGGAACCACGGUGAGAUUGAAUAAGAUAGAACGAACCUUGCACAUGGCGGUCAAAGGCGGACCAUGCUGUCUGCGGCCGAUUUGUUGCCGUACGAGUAGGAAGACGUUGUGCUCCUUUCUAACCGCAUCUUCGCGGUGACAAACCAGGGGACUUAUUUUGUAUGGGACACAUCCUACGAUAUACUCCCUCUCUCCCAGUUUAUUGGUUUUGAAUCUUUUCAUUUUAUAAGUUUCAAAUUCAAAUUUAGAGCUCCCCAUCACAUGUUGAGAUUACAAUGUCCAUUAAAUCGUUGCGUGCAUGUAUAGUAAAGAAACAAAUCUCGAGUUUGGCACGAGUUCGUGCUACGGGGGCACCACAAGCCCUGGCACAGGAGUUACAUUUCCCUCUCAGGGCCGUCGGGACUGAGGGGCAGUGGGGCCAAGAGGGGCCAAGAGGGGUGAGCCGCAGGUCGGGGGACGUGUGGUUUCAUGGGUUCGAGUGGCGUCGUGGGAAUCGCGGGUGGCUGUGGUAGAAACUUGAUGCUCGCCACAUUUUAGGUGGCCCACAUGUCAUGCACACAAAGGCAGAGGGGCGGUGCGGCCGAGAGGGGUGAGGCACACGUCGGGGGGCGUGGUGCCGUGGGUUGGAGAGGCGUCGUGGGAAUCGCGAGAUGAAAAGUGAUGGUCGCCGUAGUUGAACUUCCAUGGACAACUUGUCAUGUCUACGAUCACUGGAAGGAGUAGCAGGGAAAGCUAUAUAUGCGGAUAAAUCUCUCCCUAAAAAUAAAACACGGAUUGAGUCUCCAGGUUCACCGUCAUGAACUAUUUGCAGAAAAGCCCCUGUGAUUUUGUGCAUUGAACCCGCAAUCUAUCGUUAAUCUGCGAAGAAAAAACGGUUCACUGGAAAAAACACCCAUAUGCUUCCGCCUUCCCCCACGACCCUGGCCUUGCCGAGCCAAAUCCCCUGGCCGCCGCGGCCGACCAAAACCCGCCCGCCGCCACAGCCGCAUCUCUGCCCGCUCGUCGCCCCUGCCGUGCUCUCGACCGCAGCUUCUGGAUCAGGUCAACGCGGCUGCUCGAGAGGCCGGGGACGACGCAUUUGCUCGGUGCAGAACGGCGGCGGCGGGAUCCUGCGGGCGCGGGAGAAUGAGGGAUCCGGCGCCGCGGGCAAAGUCCUUGCAGCUGGAGGUGGGCCUCCAUGGCUGGCAGGGAGAGCUCCAAGGUCAUGGCGGGGCUUUCAUUUUUCUGGUAGAAAAGAGAGAGACAGAGGAGGAUCCAGGGAGGAGGAGAGGUAGGAGAAGAAGGAAGGGUGCGGCAGGGUGCAGCGGUGCGAGGGCACUGGUCUCCCGCGUGAGGAGCGCCUCUCCUCGGGAGGAUCUGGAGGGAGUGAAUGAAACUCAAAUCCACUUCAGAGCAAGGUACUAUUGUAGAAGUACGAAGAAGCAAGAUGACCAGAUGUACAAGUAGUAGCCGGCAACGACGAUGAAGCAAGCCAACCAGAUCAAAAUCAUGGUCCACGCAAAAAAAAGAGAUCAGAAUCAUGGUUGUGCUGAUUCCAUAGGGUCCUCAUGAUGGUUUGUAUUCUUUUAUUCAAAUGAAAAAACCAAGAAUAUUAUUGUAACUGUUACAGUUGUACUAGCAGGAUUAUCCUAGAAGUUGUGCCAAUUUUUCAUCAAUUGAUAACACAGUAAGGUAGUGAAUCAUCUUUGUAGACUUUACCAUGGCUUGACUGGUUGACUUGGAUCAUGUGUAUGUCUUAAACUUUUAAAAAAAUCUCACUUGUUCAAGUCCAGUUUAUGUAACAUCUAUAUAAUACCUAAGAUGAUAGUUUGAUGUGUAAAUUAGAAGAAACCGCACACAAUAGAUGCAGUUAGUAUUUUGAAAAUAAAGGUAGAAGUCUUUUGUCAUAAGCUUUCAAAUGGUACCUAUUUUGGUCAAUCUGAAUUCAAUUUUAAAAGUACAGCAAGAACAGGAUGUCGUCUGUCAGUUUUAACCAUGCACAGAGUUCUGUUUAGCAUCGAUAUAUCUAUUUCGAGAUAGAAUUAAUUUGGGGCUCAUCAUGUUUCCAGUAUGAGAUGUGGUUGGACAAUAAAUUGCAUCCCCUAUGCCAAGCCUACUGAGUUCACUAAAUCAACAAGCAGGGGAUCACCUUGAUGCAUAUCGCCAUCACAUUCAGACCCAAAGAUCUGGGAGCUGCAGUAUGGGCAUGAUUAACUGGGCAGUGCCAAAAUCAAGCUUCCGGAUGGUGGCGACAACAAUGGUGGCUAGAGGCGACGGGGCUAGCAUAGCGCACAGUGUUUCACGGUAGGGCGUGUGGCCAGUGCUUGCGGCGGUUGUGGAUGAUGAAGUACUGGACCUACGGUGGACGACCAUCCGCAAGAUCUACAUCAUCAUCUUUGGGUCAGUUCGCCAUGAAGGCCAUUCUGCGAACGAGGUUGUUCAUGUCCCUCCUCAUGUAUAGUUGUACUUCUAUUCUAGGAUUUCAACUCUGCACUCCAUUCCGCAUCCUGAAUAUUCAGAGUCUCGAGUUUGCAUGAGUCUUGAUUUGAUUAAAUGAACAGGCCAGUAAGAUAGAUUUUUGGUCGAGGAUAGAUUUUUGAUCGCGUGUGGGAUGAGAGGGAAUACUUAUCGAGUUAGGGUCGUGACAUUUUUUUCUCCCGUUACAACGCAUGGGCAUUUUUGCUAGUAGUUCCUUAUAGUCAAGCGGACCCAUGCUACUACUCUGUUCCAAAGACAUGCACACCAUCGAAAUAGUCCAUUUAUAUCAAUAUACACCGAGAGGGAAUAAUCUUUUUACAAGAGAGGAAAUAGUUCAUCCAUCCAUAAUGCCCUCCUGCUGGAGCGGCCUUUUCUUCUUCUUCUUCUUCUUCUUCUUCUUCUUCUUCUUCUUCUUCUUCUUCUUCUUCUUCUUCUUCUUCUUCUUCUUCUUCUUCUUCUUCUUCUUCUUCUUCUUCUUCUUCUCAUUCUCCGUGGGAGAUGGCUUCGCAACAAGCUCUUUGGACCUUGCAGCUAUCUCGAAACUCACACGGGCAUCGAGGGCAGCAUAUUUUAUCCGCUCGUAAUGUCAAGGGAUAAUUCUCCCAUCCAGACGACCUUAAUGCCACCGUCUCGUCACCCUUCUGAAGAUUUGUACCGAGCACAAAAUUUGCUACGUCGAAUAGGGAUGGUGUCUGUUUAUCACAAACUUCUAUAGGAAUUUUGAUUCUGGUUUGUAGGUCAGCGAUGCUAUUCCAAUUAAGGUUGUACGGCUCCAGCUUCUGUUUGUCCCCUUCGAUGGCUGCCCCACAGAAGUAUACAUCCUCCCGAGACAAGAAAUCGUGAAGCUCACCUGGUAUGGAGAGCGAGUGUAUGAUGUGGUACACCAAAACUUCAUCUUUGAGGCACAGCUGAAGGACGGCGGCGCGCUGGAUCUUCCCAGGGGCACGCUCCGUGUACUCUGCGUCGAGACCAAUGACCCUCGUCUCUACCUUUUCGAGGGAGUUGGAUACAUUGUUUAUCCACUGUCGAACAACCCUUGGGUGGACGGUGACGGUGGCAACUAUGCGCAUCAAGCCUUCGACGAGGACAUGUUGGACGCUAAAAACCUGCAUCUCGAUCUCUAUCGCCGUUUGGAACCGCUGGAACGGAGGGCUGUGGUUUGGAGAAUUAGGAUUAGAUGGCUAGUCUAACUGAAGUAGUAGAUGAUUAUUUAAAGUGGUUAAAACAAUGUGAACGCAGUGGGGUUUGGAUGCAAAUGAAGACGAAGGGGAGGUGAAGAAGCCGAGGAGAAUCGGUUCCCGAUGGAGAAGUAAAUGGGAGAAGUGGCGUGCAGGCAGUUGAUUAGACGGCUAGGUAGACUAAACGAAAAGGCUAUGCGGGGUAGACUGAUGAGUCGUACCUGUUUGUGUACGUGCCCAUCCUUCCUGAUAGGUGGGACCUAUGCAAACAGAUAAAAAUAUGUGUGUCAUAGUUUUUUUUGAGCACGUGAGUGGGAGACACAACAUUCUCUGGUUAAGGAAUACUCCCUCCAUUUAGGUGAGUAUAAGUCACCUUAUGAAAAUUAGGUUUUCCCAAAACCUUUAGGCGUGGAGCAUUAACUUCCUGCUCGAUCCCCUCCCAGCCUCGUUAGCCAGCGUUCUCUUCCUCUGCUGCCGCGUUCUACCUUUCCAUUUUUCCUCUUCUCAAGUGUGGAACGAUCUGCAUGCCGUCCUUGAUGCACCAGAAUGACCACUGCAUGCAUCGCGGCAGAGCGUUGAUUGGGCAUGCACGAGAAUUUGGUUCUGCUUGCUUGCAAUAUGGAUGAUACCUUGCUACGUCAUGAGCUUGCGUUGGUUUUCCCCGAAGAGGAAGGGAUGAUGCAGCAGAGUAGCAUAAGUAUUUCCCUCAGUUUUGAGAACCAAGGUAUCAAUCCAGUAGGAGCCCACGCUCAAGUCCCUCGUACCUGCACAAAGCGAUAGCUACUCGCAACCAACGCGAUUAGGGGUUGUCAUGCCCUUCACGGUCACUUACGAGAGUGAGAUCUAAUAGAUAGAAUAUUUUUGGUAUUUUUGAUAUAAGGAUGCAAAGUAAAAAGUAAAAGCAAAGUAAAUAGCAAAACAAUAUAAAAGUGAUGGAGAUUGAUAUGAUGAGAAUAGACCCGGGGCCAUAGGUUUCACUAGUGGCUUCUCUCAAGGGCUUAAGUAUUCUACGGUGGGUGAACAAAUUACUGUUGAGCAAUUGAUAGAAUUGUGCAUAAUUAUGAGAAUAUCUAGGCAUGAUCAUGUAUAUAGGCAUCACGUCCGUGACAAGUAGAUCAAAACGAUUCUGCAUCUACUACUAUUACUCCACUCAUCGACCGCUAUCCAGCAUGCAUCUAGAGUAUUAAGUUAAAAACAGAGUAACGCCUUAAGCAAGAUGACAUGAUGUAGAGAGAUAAAUUCAUGCAAUAUGAAAUAAACCCCAUCUUGUUAUCCUCGAUGGCAACGAUACAAUACGUGCCUUGCUGCCCCUUCUAUCACUGGGUAGGGACACCGCAAGAUCGAACCCAAAGCUAAACACUUCUCCCAUGGCAAGAACUACCAAUCUAGUUGGCCAAACCAAACGGAUAAUUCGAAGAGACUUGCAAAGAUAACCAAUCAUGCAUAAAAGAAUUCAGAGAAGAUUCAAAUAUUAUUCAUAUAUAGACUUGAUCAUAAACCCACAAUUCAUCGGUCUCAACAAACACACCGCAAAAAGAAGAUUGCAUCGAAUAGAUCUCCACAAGAGAGGGGGGGACUUUGUAUUGAGAUUCAAAGAGAGAGAAGAAGCCAUCUAGCUACUAACUAUGGACCCGAAGGUCUGAGGUAAACUACUCACACUUCAUGGGAGGGGCUAGGAUGAUGUAGAAGCCCUCCAUGAUGACGGCCCUCUUCCGGCGGAGCUCCGGAACAGGCCCCAAGAUGGGAUCUCGUGGAUACAGAAAGUUGCGGCAGCGGAAUUAGGGUUUUGGCUCCUGUUCUGAUCGUUUGGGGGUACGUGUGUAUAUAUAGGAGGAAGGAGUACGUCGGUGGAGCACCGAGGGGCCCACGAGGCAGGGGGGCGCACCCUAGGGGGGGCGCCCCCACCCUCGUGACCACCUCUUUGAUCCCUUGCAGUAGGGUCCAAGUCUACUGGAUCACGUUCGGUGAGAAAAUCAUGUUUCCGAAGAUUUUAUUCCGUUUGGACUCCGUUUGAUAUUCUGUUUAUCCGAAACACUGAAAUAGGCAAAAAAAAUAGCAAUUCUGGGUUGGGCCUCCGGUUAAUAGGUUAGUCCCAAAAAUAAUAUAUAAGUGGAAAAUAAAGCCCAAUAUAGGCCAAAGCAGUAGAUAAUAUAGCAUGGAGCAAUCAAAAAUUAUAGAUACGUUGGAGACGUAUCAUACCUGAAUGAUGAAGUGAACAUGCAUGCUAGCACGGGAGACCUAUUUACGCUAUAUAAUACUGGAGUACUCAUGAUGGUCAAAAUACUAUUCAUCCGGUCCUCACAGUGAAGUGACAACACCCUGCGCCUGACACUAGUCCAGGCGGCGUGUUCAGGUUACCAAAGUCAGCCUCACCCUGUGCACAGUGCAGUCUGUCACCGCCGUUGUACAAGACAUUGGCGCCUCGCCUCGUCUUAGCACCACUCCAUCUCCAUCUCACUGUGCCCCCAUGUACCGUCGCCUCACUCGCCUCCCCUAGUACCACUAUUCCCUCGCUAGCCGCUCCAGCACCGACAACCUUCUCCCCCGUAAAUCAAGCCCCCUUCCAAACUCCACCAUGGCCGAACGUGAACCGCGCAGCAUCCAUAUGAGCUACGAUUGGAGCAAUCUCCCCAGUGACAUCCUCGACCUCUGUUGUUUGUGUAUGGAUAUGUUGAGCGCCCUGCGGCUGGCUGCAUGCUCGAGGGACAUGCACAUGGCCAUCAUCGAAGCGAGGCCUAAGCUUUUCAAGACACCCUGCUUGCUGCUAUCUGGUCUUGUGAGAUUGGCUCACCAUGAUACGGAGGCGUGCAUGAUGCCCCUCGACUUCAAUCCGAUCUCCAUUAGCCGAAACUUAUUUGCAGGUAUGUAGUGGGUCGCCGUACACCAUUUCCCUUGACAUCGAUCCGAUCACCAUCGCCCGAAACUUCUUGGCAGGUAUGUACUGGGUCGGCAUGAACUCCCACUGGAUGGCUGCCUUCAGAGAAGACGGUAAAAAGUUGGUGCUCGUGAACUUCCAGACCUCCCAUGAGAUUAUCCUUCCUCCGUUGGAUUAUAUAGAGUAUUACCAUCGCGGUCCAAGUCAUCUGUAUUUACUACGUCAGUUGGACGGACCUUGUUUUGCAGAAGAUUGUAAUGUGCCAAGUGCCCACACAACAUGCGAAUUACGCAGACUUCAAGCUAAUUGCCUUGUUCGACCGUGGACUCGCCUAUCUUUACGCCGGUGCCUUCUUUAGCUGGAGACAACUCGGCUCGCAGUGGAUCAUCGUCAAAGCUGAUACACACUUCUGUGAUGCUAUUGAACACAAUGGCAUCAUCUACGCGAUCGACAAAGUAGAUGGCACCACGUAUUGCUGGGACGGCGCGUGUAAGUUGUUUCCUCUCAUGUUAAUGAUGACGCCAUGACACUGUUUGAACUUUUUGUGAUGAUUGGCAUAUCUCUGUUUGAGCAGAAUUUGAGUAGAACUAUGGCAAUGUAUUAGAGAUGCCGUAAAUCAGCUAUAUUUGGAAUGAGUUAAUUCAUGCGAUUGUGACCAUGUCAUUACAACCAAUUUGUACCCUGAAUAAUCAAACAGUUAGGAAUAUAUGGAUAUUAUCCUUAUUUUACAGUAAUCUAUAUACUACUACUAAAUAUGAGUGUGUAUCAAUGGCCAUGUUAGUUUCCUCAUUUUCAUGAUGUAGAAACAUGCACCACACUGUUGGUUUCAUCUAACCAGACAUUAGGGGAGUAAAUGUGCAUAUGGAGAACUCUAUAUUUGGAAGUAGUGAAAUCCUGCAAUGCUUACCAUGUGUAUAUACCUAUAUUCGCCCUUCAGCAAUCAAUGGCUAGAAUAAUAUCCUCACAAAAAAUUUGCCCACAGAACACGAGUAUAUAACAAUGCAUGAUCUGUUAGUUACCUUGAAGAAUUUGUUUGUGAGGACAGAACAUGAUUACAUAACAUGCAUGACAUGGUAGUUUCCUGUGAAGAAUCGAUUGUGAGAUAACAUGAGUAUAACCAUGCAUGGCACUUUUAUAUUUUCGAACCCAGUAUACAUUUCCCUGUAUUUUCCUCCCAGUUCCAACAGGGACAUAUCAAUGUUGUUUCUUGCAUUAUCCUACUCAUACUCUGAUCAAUGCUGAUCUUACAUUAACAAUGUCUGUCCUUUUUGAUAUGAUGCAGUGUCCCUACAGUUACUGCCCUUUGUAAUCACACCACCUUUGCCAAAAACAGGGAAGCACAACUGGUUCCUCACUCGACCAGAUGAUGGCAAAAGAUUGAUGGUCAUUUGGACACAUGAGCCGGAAAAGUUAUAUUGCAAAAACCCCACUGUAUAGAAGCACCGUGUAAUACGUGAGUAUCCGGACAGUGGCUGUUACGUCUAUGAGCAGGAUACCAUCUUGUUGGGGGCUUUAGGAUUUUUUAGUUGGAGGCAGGUAAACAACCUUGGUUCACACUCUCUGUUUCUCGGACUCAAUUAUCCGAUUAACCAGGAGAUCACCGUUGGCAAGGACCUUGAUGGCAGAGAGGCUCUGUUUGCUAUGGAAAACUGUGUCUACACGAUGAGCCCUAGGAGUCCGGGAGCAAAUUCCCCUGAUUGUCAAUGAUACAUCCUGCAGCCAAAAUAAGGUGAGAAUGACAAAGGCAUCCGGAUUAACUUUGAUCCUUGGAUGUCUCAAUUACGACAGGCAGUGAUGUGGUUCGAGCCUUCAGGUUGAUAGGUAAUUGGGCUGUUGCAUCGAAAGGGCGGAGUACUAGUGUCUCCGGAUCACUGGUCGCUGAAGCAGGGCUGCAAAUUAUAAUGGUGUUGGAUCAUCUCUUCGAAUGACUUUGUUGUCUUUGCUGCUGGUUCUGGAUGGGUAGUUCUUUCUUUUGUUAUGCAUAUUCCUUGUCAUUUGGUCAUCCUCGUCUAUGUCACUCUUACUAUGUAAUAGUUGCUUCUGUUUAGAAUGUCAUUCUCGUCAGGAUCACGAGAGUCUGAGCGCUGCAGAUGGGUGUGUUUCGGUGGUGUAGCAAGACUUCUUAUGAACUAUCAUGUCUUGCUGUUUAUGUUAGUAGUAGUCACAAGUCAGUGUUUGAAUGUUGUAUAUAUCGUUGUUUCGAACUGUUUAUUGUCUCGAACUACUGGUGGGAUAAAUGAGGGCAUCACCAUUCUCCAGUGUUCAGAGUAUAUCUCCUUUUUUUCAAGUUAUAUAAUUUGAGCUCAGUGUCUUUUCGAUAAUGUACACUUGUUUGGGCCAGUGAGGUGUCGUUGAAUAUGGGCCGAGUAGUAACGCAAUGCCAAACAGGUCAAUUAUGACUCUCGGGCCGGGCUCUCAAAAGAUCCUAAAAAAAGGCCGGGCUCUCCAAAAAAGAAUGAAUAAGGACUCUUAGGCCUACAUGUGGGCGCCACCGGUGUUUUCGUGCGCUUGCGCGCCGAGAGCAUAUUGGCGCGUGAUCGAAAUUCAUGCUACCUUUUCAUCCGCAGUCUCCCGCCCCUCCCCCACCUCUGGAAUCUUGAUUCCUACUCCAGUUCCCCCAAAUCCCCCUCCUGUACUCCCUAUACUCAAGCACACUAUCAUGUCGCCGGUCAACGCGGAUCUCCGAGCCGGAGAUCCUGAGGUCUGUCCUGCCUUCGGUCGCUGCGUGCUGUCGCUCAACAGUGGCAUGGCGGCGCUUGACGACCAGUUUGCCGGCAAAGUGCUGAUGGUAACCAUCAACGGCGACCGGCCUCCCGUCUCGCCGGAUGACCUUGUCAAAGCUCUUGGCAUUGCGCACGGCAUCCAAAUAAGUGACUUGCUCGUCGAAGUCUGUCCGCCACUGGCUGAUUUCUUCGUCAGGUUCCGGACAACUUUCGAUUGCAGUCAUAUGUUCGAAUCUUCCCGGCGUUUGUUCUGCGAUGGUGCAUUGGUGAGCUUUGAUCGGUGGCACCCAGGAUGGGGCUCGGUGCCCUCUGAGCUUGAGCUUUUAACAAAUCUUACCUUCCACGGCAUGCCUCGACGUGCUUGGAACAGCAAGUCCAUGAACGAGCUUAUCAACGACCUUGGAGGUGAGCUCGUAAGUAUGUUUGUUCCUCCAGACAGUUGCGCUCUGACGGUUAUGGCAUGGAUGAAGAAGCCGUCCACCAUACCGAAGGUGAUUGGUAUUGAGAUACCGGUGCAGGAACUGGGGUUGUACUAUUCAUCGCCACCAAAGCCGCCACGGACCACGUUAGGGAUGUACCUGUAUCGAGUGUUCGUGCAUUCGAAGAAGUGGUCAAUCCAUCAAUCGAAGUCCUGUCACCGCCGCUGGUGCCAGGGUCCGUCAACGAUGUCCAUUACAGGAGUCAACGUCAGACUUUCCCCGUGUUGCUCGGAACGAUGGAUGGCACAGGGCCUACUCCAUCGCGCGGCGGAGGCCACUGCUUCUUUGGGAGAAGAGGCAGGGCUGGCUGCCUGGAUGUGCUCUAAUUUGAGGUAACAACUGAAUCUUAUCAGAUACUAGUUAAAUUCGAGCUAUGGGUGUGAAGCACUAAUAUGCCAGUACAUUUGAUUGUGACAUGUUCUAAUUUUGUACCUGAACUUUUUUGAAAAAGGGCUGUACGUCAACUUAAUGUGCUAAGAGAACUUAUUGUGUUGUCUGUCUAUUUUCUUUGCACAACAUUCAAGAUAUUUCUCCGUCAUUGAUAAAGACGAUGAACCGUUAUGUACGACUUCGUUGGUUUCAACAUAGCCCUUCCCAUAGCGAUCCACUACUUCCAUCCUGAUUGUGCCGCGUGCGUGAAAUUUUUGUAUGCAAGUUCAGUGUGCUAUGAUGUUCUAUAUGAUUAUGUAAACUAUAUAAUUUUUUACUGAGCAUCAACAAUGCAUAUGGCUGAAAGAUGUAUUUACGAGCAUCGGCCGAUGGCUCUCUCUCUCACACACACACACACACACGCGUGCGCGCGCGCACGUGCACGCACAAGUGGGACUCGUUGAAUUAUUUAUUUGCUCAUGACAACUUUUAAUUAGGUUCUACUGUAAUCUAACUUUUUUCUUAAGUUAUUAAUUGAGCUCAGUGACUUCAAAAAGUUGUACAGAAGCCUUGUUCGGGUCUUUUCGGCGUCGUUGAAUGUGGACUGAGUAACCAUGUUAGGUUGUACUGUACUACACAACCUUUUUUCGCUAUUUUUUUAAAUAAUACAUUUUUUAUUAAUUUUCAUAAAUAUUACGCUGGGUAUUUUUUUUCAAAAAUAAUACACCGUCUGCCCGCUGCAGGCCGACUGGGCCUAGUCGGCCCACAGCAGGCCGAUUGGAUUCCAGUCGGCCUACAGUUGGCCAACUGGCCCCUGUCGGCCCACUGUGGGCCGACUGGAGCUAAUUGGCUCGCUGUGGGCUAAUUGUUUUUAUAAAAGUGUUAAUCAUGUAUUUAAAAAAUAUGUGUAUUGUGACCUCCUCCGCUCGUUGUGGGCCCAUUGUUGACUAAAAAAAUAUGUUUUAAAAAGUGUUAAUCAUGUAUUUAAAAAUUGUUAAAUGUGUGUAUAAAAAUGUUCCUUAUCUAUACAAAAAAAAUUAAAUGUGUGUAUAAAAAAUAGCUUUUUUCAAAAUCAGCAAUGCAACUGGGCCGACAGUUGUACACAAUAUCCGGGUCAACUUGUUAUUCUCCGCCCCGCUGGGCUGCAAACUUUCCUAGGAGGUAUGCAUUAGGUUUAACAAGAAAAUGGAAUUUAAUAAAUAAUAAAUGGGAUGUAACUAUAAUAACUGGACAGUUACUAUGCACCAAACACGUAAUUAGUUUGAAAAAUAUAUUAUUUUUGGAAUUUGAAAAUUUUAAUUUCAUUACUUGUUGCGCGCGCAAUAUUUCGUUGGAUUUUAACAUAAUACAACUUUAUUUUGAAAUUAUAUUUAACCUGACUAGAAAUUUCGGAUAAAAAUAUUUCGGAUCACAUCAAAAUGUGAGAAUUUUUUUUGAAUUCUGUUUUGAGCGGUUGUUUGAAAUUAUUAAUCGUUGUCCUAGCUAGAAGUUGGGCUGUAAUUUUAACAAACUGUAAAUGGGCUGUAGUAAAUUCCAUUAGAAUUAAAAAAAAAAUGGGUUGUACAUUCUUACAAAUCGCAAAUGGGCUAUAUGUUCUCUGCCAAAUCCGAGCUGUGGGCCUACUAAGUUGACGCGUACCAAGGGCUUUGUCAACUUAGUCAAUAUAAACGAUUCUAGCUGCAGUGAUCGUACGAUGUCCAUCCAACGACCAUAGUGCUUCUUCAACCUCUGGUCUUCUUGCUCCAGCCGCCCAAAGCAGCGUCGAUCGUGUCGCGUGCUCCUGCCUCCCGUGGCCGGCGGUGAUGCCGCGGAGGCCUCACCGCCCUGUACUACUCCCACCGCUGGACAGGCCAUCCCUCUACUCACCCACACCCCCUGUUAUUCUGCGGCGAUGGCAGCCUCACACCGCAGCGGAACCAGUGAACCCUCGUACUCCUCUCCGCGUGGGCUUCCACUGCUGCGUCUUCCCUGGCUCUGCGUCGUCCCUUCCUAGGCCUCACCGUCGUCCAGACCAUCGCCCUGGUGAUCUCGGCGCGGCGUGGUCAACGUGGUCAACGACCGACUUCCAUCGGAAGAGUACUCUACAUGGAGAGGCUGACAGCUGGGUCCAUGGCAGCCGCAAGGAAGUGCAUCCUUAUUACGCGCAAAAUAAUUAUUACUCCACCUGACAGCGGAGACCAAUCGGACGGGCCACCGUAUUUCGUGAAAAAAAUGAUUCGCCCCUGACUGCUGGGACCCACAAGCUACAUCUUCGCACGCAAGAAAGUGCGUCCGGAAAAAAAUGAUUCGCCCCCCUGACUGCUGGGACCCACCAGGCCCCCGAUUGCUGGGACCCACCAGCUACACCUUCGCACGCAAGGAAGUGCGUCCGGGCAAAAAAACCAAAACAAUUCGCCCCCUGGCUGCUGGGACCCACCAGCUACAUCUUCGCAGGCAAGGAAGUGCCUGACAGUCGGGACCCACCUGGUCAAAGCGUACGUAGCAUUGUCAUUCUGGUUGCGAACAUGUACGUACAUAUAUAUUGGUCGAUGUAGAGUCGCGCACGUGUCGUAGUAGAGGCGCGCACGUAGCAUGUACACGUACGUACAUCGGCCAGGGUGCAAGAAAGAAACUACAGCCACGUAUGUGUACAUACGGGUGGGGCCUCAAACGCCUACUCGCGCAUACGUACGGCCAGGGCUCGUGUACAUGGCUGGGUCGGAACGGAGCAACAGCGUCGUCGUCGUGUUCAUGGGGAGGCAACGGAAUGUGUCGUGUCAUGGGGAGACAACGGAAUGUGUCGCGUUCAUCAAGAGGGCUUGGACGGAACAGGCGAUGGAAACGAGGCCUGGCGUACCGCAAAACGGAGGAAACGGCCUUGUGUUCGACCGGCCACGUUCGAAACGGGAUCCUGUUCAUCGGGAGGGGUGUGGCGUACCGCAAAACGGAGGAAACAGACCUCCUACGAUCGAAACCGGGGUCCUGUUCAUCGGGAGGGGUGUGGCGUACCGCAAAACGGAGGAAACGGACCUCCUACGGUCGAAACGGGGGUCCUGUUGAUCGGGAGGGGUGUNNNNNNNNNNNNNNNNNNNNNNNNNNNNNNNNNNNNNNNNNNNNNNNNNNNNNNNNNNNNNNNNNNNNNNNNNNNNNNNNNNNNNNNNNNNNNNNNNNNNNNNNNNNNNNNNNNNNNNNNNNNNNNNNNNNNNNNNNNNNNNNNNNNNNNNNNNNNNNNNNNNNNNNNNNNNNNNNNNNNNNNNNNNNNNNNNNNNNNNNNNNNNNNNNNNNNNNNNNNNNNNNNNNNNNNNNNNNNNNNNNNNNNNNNNNNNNNNNNNNNNNNNNNNNNNNNNNNNNNNNNNNNNNNNNNNNNNNNNNNNNNNNNNNNNNNNNNNNNNNNNNNNNNNNNNNNNNNNNNNNNNNNNNNNNNNNNNNNNNNNNNNNNNNNNNNNNNNNNNNNNNNNNNNNNGAGGGGUGUGGCAUACCGCAAAACGGGACUCCACGGGAUACUGUUCAUCUCCACCGUCGACCUCCUCCAGCCUCCACGGGCUCCUGUUCAUCCAGCCUACACGGGCUCCUAUUCAUCCUGCCUCCACUGCACGCUACUCCACCGGCUACUGUUCAACCACCCCUCCACCGGCUACUGUUCAUCCAGCCCUCCACACCACGAGGUCCUGUUCAACCACCCCUCCACGGGCACCCCUCCACCGUCUACUGUUCAUCCAGCCCUGCAAACCACAGGGUCCUGUUCAACCACCCCUCCACCAUCUACUGUUCAUCCAGCCUUCCACACCACGGGGUGCUGUUCAUCCACCCCUCCAUGGGCACCCCUCCACCGUCUACUAUUCAUCUAGCCCUCCAUCACACCGCGGGGUCCUGUUCAUCCAGAGGCAACGCCACUGCUCACUGUUCAUCCAAACCCCCCCGCAACGCUCACUGUUCAUCCCAUCGAUCGGCUUCAGUUAGCAGUAGUAGCGAAGGAAUCGCUCGAUCGGGUUCAGUUAACAGCCAUAGAUCGAUCACUCGGGUUCAGUAACGCAUAGCCUGCAGUGCAAUCGCUCGGGUUCAGUUAGAGCCAAUGCCUCGCACACACGCGCGUACGUGUACGAGAGAAACGCGCAUCGCUCGGCCCCGACCUCCCACCGUAACUGGGAACUCCCUGAAAUUUUCCUCCCCCUCGCUUCUACCACGGUUUUUUCCGUCAUGGACGGCCCAAAGAAUGUCAUGCAGCUGCGUCUCCGGCCCGCCCAGGACGAAAAGCCCAUUUGCUGUCAUGAUUUUUUGUCAUAGAAGUAGGAGCCCACCACAUCUAUGAUGAUACCAGGUUUUGUCACAAUUAUCGUCAUAGAAGUGUCAUAUGUAUGACAGAAAAAAAUCGUUUGGCCCAAAAUGUCACGGAUGUGUUUUUUUGUAGUGUAUAUAAGAGAGGUCGCUCCUCUCCAGAGUGACACACCAGAAGAUCAUCUCCCUCUCGCCACCAAGUUCCUGAGCACUGCGCUGCCGCUACAAUUUUCCCCAUCCCGGCUUGCAGCGUGCACCGCAGGUCGGGACAGUAGGCCUCCAAAACCGCACCUCUGUGAGUCCUGUACGGGAGAAGGGUGAUAAGGUUUUUGGGGAGCGCUCCGCGCAACUACUGACUUUUUCAUCACGGACGCCCCAGACUCCAACAACUACUUCCCCGGCGAUGACUUCUUCCCCGACGUCCACAACCUCCUCGACGACAUGGAUGGCGAGGACACCGACCCCAAGUCCAGUUAUACUGCUGCUGCUGUCCCGUAUGUGAUCUUCUCCUUUCUGUUCAAGGUCUUGCCACAGUUCCUUCUUCUAGUGUUUGCCCUAGAUAUGUUAGGUUCUACUUCAUAUAUGAAACUUGCCCUACUGUCUGCUCUACAUAAGCUUGGUUGCAGUUCAUAUAUGCAUAUGUUACUUACCUUAUCUCUGUCAGAUCACAUGACUAGUUUUAUCCCCGUUAUAUUAGUCAUGCUUUAUCUAAUAUUUCUGUUAAUAAAAUCAUUAGGUAAAUUGCUCAUAUUUCCAACAUGGUCCACGUGAGGCGGUCACAGAGUUCGUUGUCACCGAUCUCCCUGGAGUCCAAGAGGAUGCUCACCUCGCAGCCGUCUUCGUGGUAGGUCCAUAUCUGGACGAAACGGGGUAGAGGGAUCUCCAAUCAAGGAGGACGCGACCGUCGCGGACGUCGCAUGGGCGCCAACGAGGGCCUUUCCGUUCGUCUUGGACGCCCGUCGGCAUGAAGUAGGAAGAAGAAGAGACGACAUCCGGGACGAAGGAGAAAUCCGCGGCGCAGGAGGCGAGGGCACCGGCGAGCGGGUCGGAGGGGUGCGGCGCCUGGGCGGCGUGGAAGCCGCCAGCGUCCAUGAAGCCGAGGAAGGGAGGGCGAUGCAGCAUGCGGAAGCGGCGGCGGAAGGCACGACCUUUGAUGGCGCGGUGGAAGGAGGUGCAGGCGCAGGCGAGCGCGUCCGGGGUGGGCAGGCGGAUGAAGACCUCCUCCAGGAGCUCGUCGGGGAUGGUCGGCGGCUGCGGCGGUGGCGUGGCCAUGGCGGCGGGGCUGGGGGAAGGGGAUUGAGGGUUAGGGUUGGGGAUAGUGUGAGGGAGCGACUAGUGAGCUCUACGAACCCAUUUAGCUCCAUGGAAUUAAGCUUCAAAAAUGUUUGGAAAUCAAAAUUGAGCUCCAUAAAUCUGUGUGUUAAAUUUCAGCUGUGGGAUAGAUAAAAGGGGGUAAAUUCAUAUGUUAAUCUUAAUGCACACCAUCAUGUACAUGUGGAUGUUUUACCUUUUGGAAUCAAUCCGGGUACACGGAGAAGCAGAUUUGGUGCCGUCAUGCUCAGGGAUCUGCUGAGAAGGCUUUGGAGGUGCUCGAGAGCUUUGUCGCCGAACACUUGUUUUCUUGGGCAUGGGAGCUCUCGCUGCGGCCAGCCUUCCUAGAGAUUGGGGAGGGGGAUGCGUCAGGAGAGGCCGAUGCCAAUGACGGGACCCACUUUUUGGUCUGGUUCGGGCCAGGGAUCGUGCGAACGCGCACCCUCCCUUCCCCAACAUGCCAAUUUGGCCCGGCCCAUUUGCGGGCCUCGACGCCCCUUUUUUCAUUUUUCACUUCUCCUUUUUCAUUUUCCAUUUUUGUUUUAUUUUUUGUUAAAAUAAUUCAGUAUUAAAAAAAUGUUCUAAAAUUUCAAAAAAUUAUGAAUUGCAAAAAAAUAUGUUCAAGAAAUCUAAAAUGUUAAUGGAUUAAAAAAAGUUAACAUAUUUCUAAAUUGGUCAAGAACUUCAAAAAUAUUUUCACGAUUCAGAAAAAAUGUUCACGAAUCCUAAAAAUCAUCAUGAAUUAGAAAAUAUGUCCGCAUAUUCAAACAAUGUUCACGAUUUCAUAAAAAAUGUUCAGGACAAAAAUGUUCACGUAUUCAAGAAAUGUUCGCCAGUUUGAAAAAAUGUCCGCGAAUUCAGGAAAUGUUCAUAAUUUUUUCAAAAUAUUUUUAAAAAAUGAUAAAAAAAAUUCACGAAUUUUAGUAAAAUGUUGCCAAUUCGAAAAGAGGUUCGAAGUUUCAAAAUUGUUUGUGGAUUUGUAGAAAAUGUUAACAAUAUUAAAAAAUGAUCAAUUUUUAAAAAGUUCCCAGAUUUCAUAAUGUUUUCACAAACUAUUCAUUAUUUAAAAAAUGUUCACAAAUUCUAAAAGAAAAAUGAAAACAAAACAAGAAAGAAAAAAGAAUAGAAAAGAAGGCUAAAGAAAAAAAGAAAAGAAAAAGAAAAACCCAAAGGAAAAAAAUAUCGGUCCAGGAAGGGUCUAGAACCUUCCCAAAACCAGGUGUGAUGAAACUCGGAAAAUGGGUUGGCCCCUACCAAUACCAUCGCUGAGACGGGGUACGCCCAUGGUCUAUCUGCGACAACCUGCGUGCCAAAUAGGAGCCGCCGCCAUUGGCAGGAGGAUUGACGUCACGGCGCAUGUCGGAGUGGGUUGCAUAUGGUAUUAUCUUGGCCCAUACAAAGGGACACGAGAUGGGAGGCCUCCAAGAGCAGGUGAUAUGCACUAGGUAUGAUAUUGCCUAUACAUGGGACAACUCGAUGUGAAGACUGCAUUCUUGCAUGGUGAUCUAGAGGAUAUAUACAUGGAGCAGCCAGAGGGAUUCAUGAUUGCAGGCAAGAAACAAUUAGUUUGCAAAUUGAUGAAGAGAUUCUAUGGUUUGAAGCAAGCUCCUCGGCAGUGGUACAAGAAAUUUGAGUCUUUUAUGCACUACUAGGAAAAGGCCUACUAGUGGCGCACCUGUUUUGCCUACUAAUGACGCACUACAGGUGCGCCACUACUAGCACGCCAUUAGUAUUUUUACUAAUGGUGCACCUGUGGUGCGCCAUUAGUAUCCGCACCAUGCAGUGCGCCAUUAAUAUAGCCCACGGUGCGCCAUUACAAGUCUCCGAAUACAAUUCAUCAAAUACAUGUCUCCGAAUACAAUUCAUCAUAUUAGUCUCCAAAUUUAAAAUACCGAACAAAGUUAGAACAUUACAAGUCUUGAAACCGCGAGUAGCGAGUUUGUCUUCACAUUACAAGUCGAUAUCGAUCAUCUAAAGUACCAUCAACUAGAAGAGAGGUGCGGUCAUCACGAUGAGCAUAAUCGUGAUGAAACUGGUCUUCAUUCGGUUCCUCCAACGCUCUCUCCUCUCUCCCGCUAGAUAGCGCGCGUAUCUAACUUCCGCCUCUACCCUAGUGGUGUACCCUUUGUAACUGUUACCGCUGAAACGGUGAACCUGUCUUUGACACUCCUCCCAGUCGUCCUAGACUCCAGGAACCUUACCCUUGUACACGACAUACGACGGCAUCUCUAUGCACUAGGCAAACAAAACGUUAGUAGCAAUUCACAGACAAUACAUAAGAAAUAUAUAAGUAUGCAACAAAAGGAUCGGAAGAGAAAAGCAACACAUUAAUAGCAUCGAUUACAUCUAAGUUGAACGACUGUCCAAACCAAAGAGACAUACAAGUUCAUUAAAGUUUAAUUACAACAUUAGCCAAUCGAUGUUUCAGAACUACACAUAGCAUCACUACUUUCGACUCGACUCAAGGGACCGGAGCGUGGAUGAGGCCGCCGUCUCUCGUGAUGGUCAUGAAAUCGCGGGCGUUGUCAGCCUGCAUUUGUAGUGUUGUGUCUAUCUCAUUGUUGGACGGUUGAUUUCUGAGGUUGAACUGCCCUGAGGUAUGAAGGACAUCUUGAUGGAUGAUUUCCGCAAACUCUGACUGGAUGCGAAAGAAUUCUUGUCUAAUGUCCGCGUCCUGGAUUGCCGACAAGCUCGCAGCCCAAUCUUUGAGAUUAUUUGGUAGCAGAAGGUGAUUAUGGUCCCAUACGAUCGCCUGCAUGUGAUGGAGGGCGUAGUAGGCAUCCUUCUGACCGCCAGGCGGCUGCUUGACGCAGCAGAACGUCGUAUUGUGGGCGAACACAUGCUUUCCGUACUUACGAACUGGCCUGGUGAAGGUGCCUCCAGAUUUGGCGUAGCCAAGGAGAACAUCAUCAAGAACUUUCUUGAUAUUUGUGUAGUCUUUCUUCGACUGACGGUCCGAGUCGAAAUACGUGGCCAUGGCUUAAGAGGAUGAGUGUGCAAUGUGUGUGACUGCACAAAACAUGGAAUGUUAGAAAAAGAAUGAUCGAAAUCUAAGAAAUCAUAUGUUACGAGGCGGUUGAGGGGACGACUUACUCAGGAAAGUAAGGCACGAGGAAGUUAUCCUUAUCUGGGUUUGACAGAAUGACGCCUUUGAGGUAAGAACUCGCGACUUGCCGGUCCCUAGCGCUGCCCAAGAUCUUGGCACACAUGUAGAAGGGGUCGACUAUCACGAUGUCCGGGGUCUUGUCUCUAAUGAUCCGCAUCUCCAUACUCAGCGAAAAUAGCCGAACGAAGGUGUAGUGCAGCGGAUGAAGGUUAAACAUAGCGAAGAUGUCAUCAAACCGCAGGACGAUCGUACUCCCGAUGGAGUUAUCCACAAAGCCCUUGCCCUCUGGCACCUUAGCCACGAAAACCGGGUAUGCCACGCCAUUCUCUCUGAGACGCCGCUUCUCCAAAGAAAGAACACUGUCAUGCAGACUCCGCAUAGCAACGGUUGUGGCAUUGAGCAUAUUAGUCGGUAGCAUCGGCCUACCCGCCACAUGCACCCUCCUCGAGAUAUCCUUAGGUGAAGGUGGCCCGUCCUGAGCACGGAUCGUACUCGGUGCCGGCUGGCUCGCACCCUUGUUACUCUUUCUUUUCCGUCCCUUCUUCUGCUGUAAUGGGACCAAGUUUUGCUCACAGACCGCCUUCUUGAGUGUGUUGGGGCUGAUAAUAUUUCGCACAUCGGCUAUCUGAGGCUCAGUGAAGUCGGCAGCUGGAGGCGUCUCCUGAGAACUGAACGCCAGACGACGCCUGUUGCAAUUGGGAUUCUCCGCGAUACCAGCUAGAUCAUGAUCGUCUUUUGUAGGGUUGGGUUCUUGAGAAGGAGGCCCCAAGAAUUCCUCAUCGUACCCAUGUUCGGCAAAGUACUUAUCGACGUUGGUAAAUGUACCAUCGUCGUUGUCGUCGUCGUCCGGAUCCUGUGCCAUAUGCAUGUUCGGAUCAUGUGCCAUAGGGAUGUCCGACAUGUCCGGUAGCGUUGCGGCGGUGUUGUCUUUGGGGUGGUGUCCCCCGCCCCCAAACGAAUCUGGCUCUUCGGCCAAAACAUGGGCCAUAUUAGGCAGGCGCUGAGGGUCAUCAGAUCAUCUUCGUCGGCCCCGGCGGGUCGAAUCGGAGGUAACAACUCGUCGCAGCCUAGCAGCACCUGAACCAGUUGAACCCUAUACACGGUGGGUGGCAUCGUAUUACCGUGGAACACGGGGUUGCCCGGUUGAAUGAUUUUGCCCUUGGCGACAUCGACCAACUCGUCGUUCACGAAGUGCAGGAGAGUGCACGGAACGUCGGCGGCGCCCUACGAAAACAUGUAGGGCGUUAGGGAUGCCCAGUCAAAGGCAAGGAGAUGAAGUCCUCGACCGAGAGGCUUAAUUAGUUACCGUGAUGAUGGCGUCGAGCUCGGCUAAUGUUGAGGCACCGCCAACGGCGGGCGUGCAACUGACAGAGGGGAUGCUUGCUGUCGAGGUGCCGGCCGGCAUACACCCGGGUGCAUUAUGCUCGAAUGCCCGUGCCGGCAUCGGGGACACCAAUACUGCCUCCGCCGGAGACACCAAUGGCACCACCUGCGCGUUGUGCGAGUUGCUGGCUGUGAAGCCGGGAAUCGGGGGCGGCCCCUGUUGGCCGCCCGCAAUCCACGUCGCCAGCCCAUGAAUCAAGGUAGGAAUAAUGCCGGUGAGCGUCGAUCCCUGUUGUUGUUGCACUUGCUCUUGGACAAUCUCUGGAAUCCGCGCCACUUGUGCCUUGAGUUCUUGAACCUCGCGCGACUGGCUUUCCGAGCUGGUCUUUCUCUCCUUUCACCCACCAGCGUUAUAGUAUGAUGACCAUUUUGUGGACAAGCCUUUGCCGGCCACACGACCAGCUAACGACGGCUUACUGAGCUUAUCCUUGUUUUUCAUUACGUUCAACGCCCUAUUUAGAGUGUUGUCCCAAGGGGUGCUCUGAGACGACCCCGCGCUACUGCUUUCAGUCUCCUUCGCCAGAACAAGCUCAAGCGCCCUAGUCUUCGGAUCCAUGGUAAGCUCCUUUGUUACCGGGUCCUCCUUGUACCGGGCCCUAACAUAGUUCCUGGUCUGCUUGUCACGGUAUUUCUCGAAGCGGGGCGGUAGGCCUUGCUCGGCACGCUCCGCGUCCUCCUUGUCCCAUAUAGGCUCUGCCACUCUGUAACCGACGGGACCGAGUUUGUGUUCCCCUAAGUUCAACUCCCGCAUUUCUAUCCCCCACUGACUUGAUUCGGAGGUUGCGCUGCUCUCGCACUUGAUCUUGAACUCCUUGUAGUCAUCUUCGCUGAUCGAAGGAUUUUUCGCCUUGAUAUUCUCAUAACUAUCACCUUUGUCAAUCAUUCUCUUCACCGCGCUUCUCCAAGUAGACAGGGCCGUGCUCAUCGUCGUGAGGGCGGCACUGUUCACUUUAUUCCCUGAGAGGCGUGUGUUUUCAAAUUCAGCGGGGGACUUGUAUCGUUCGUGCAGCUUUGUGAAGAGGAGGUUGCGCAAAUUCCCUCGGUCCUUAUGCCUUAGGUUCUCGGUGUUGAUCGAGACGGUGCUCCGGAGAAUGCACCUGAGCUGAAGCGAGUACCCCUUGACUAAUUCUUUGGGCGCCAUUGGAUGCCCGUCGGAGUUCACUUGAGUAAAUUCCUCCUUGACGGUGAGGAGCACGUUCGGGUGCCGGUCCUUAUGUUGCCUCUUCGGUUGGCUGCUAUCUGUGCGUGCACUGGCAUCAUCAGUGGUGGCUGUUGGAAAUAUGCCCUAGAGGCAAUAAUAAAAGUAUUAUUAUUAUAUUUCCUUGUUCAUGAUAAUUGUCUUUUAUUCAUGCUAUAACUGUAUUAUCCGGAAAUCGUAAUACACGUGUGAAUACAUAGACCACAAUAUGUCCCUAGUGAGCCUCUAGUUGACUAGCUCGUUGUGAUCAACAGAUAGUCAUGGUUUCCUGGCUAUGGACAUUGGAUGUCGUUGAUAACGGGAUCACAUCAUUAGGAGAAUGAUGUGAUGGACAAGACCCAAUCCUAAGCAUAGCACAAAGAUCGUGUAGUUCAUUUGCUAGAGCUUUGCCAAUGUCAAGUAUCUCUUCCUUUGACCAUGAGAUCGUGUAACUCCUGGAUACCGUAGGAGUGCUUUGGGUGUAUCAAACGUCACAACGUAACUGGGUGACUAUAAAGGUGCACUACAGGUAUCUCCGAAAGUAUCUAUUGUUUUAUGCGGAUCGAGACUGGGAUUUGUCACUCCGUGUAAACGGAGAGGUAUCUCUGGGCCCACUCGGUAGGACAUCAUCAUAUGCGCAAUGUGACCAAGGAGUUGAUCACGGGAUGAUGUGUUACGGAACGAGUAAAGUGACUUGCCGGUAACGAGAUUGAACAAGGUAUCGGUAUACCGACGAUCGAAUCUCGGGCAAGUAAAAUACCGCUAGACAAAGGGAAUUGUAUACGGGAUUGAUUAAGUCCUUGACAUCGUGGUUCAUCCGAUGAGAUCAUCAUGGAACAUGUGGGAGCCAACAUGGGUAUCCAGAUCCCUCUGUUGGUUAUUGACCGGAGAACGUCUCGGUCAUGUCUGCAUGUCUCCCGAACCCGUAGGGUCUACACACUUAAGGUUCGAUGACGCUAGGGUUAUAAAGGAAGCUUGUAUGUGGUUACCGAAUGUUGUUCGGAGUCCCGGAUGAGAUCCCGGACGUCACGAGGAGUUCCGGAAUGGUCCGGAGGUAAAGAUUUAUACAUAGGAAGUCCUGUUUCGGCCAUCGGGACAAGUUUCGGGGUCAUCGGUAUUGUACCGGGACCACCGGAAGGGUCCCGGGGGCCCACCGGGUGGGGCCACCUGCCCCGGGGGGGCACAUGGGCUGUAGGGGGUGCGCCUUGGCCUACAUGGGCCAAGGGCACCAGCCCCAAGAGGCCCAUGCGCCUAGGGAACCCUAGAGGGAAGAGUCCUCAAGGGGGAAGGCACCUCCGAGGUGCCUUGGGAAGGAUGGACUCCUCCCCCCCUCUUGGCCGCCGCACCAGAUGCCAUCUGGAGGUUGGCUGCCGCCCCUUGGGGUGGGAAACCCUAAAGGGGGCGCAGCCCUCCCCUUCCCCUAUAUAUAUGAGGCCUAGGGGCUGCCCAUAACACGCGAUUUGAUCUCUCGUUGGUGCAGCCCUGCCCCUCUCCCUCCUCCUCCUCUCCCAUGGUGCUUGGCGAAGCCCUGCUGGAUUGCCACGCUCCUCCAUCACCACCACGCCAUUGUGCUGCUGUUGGAUGGAGUCUUCCUCAACCUCUCCCUCUCUCCUUGCUGGAUCAAGGCGUGGGAGACGUCACCGGGCUGUACGUGUGUUGAAUGCGGAGGUGCCGUCCGUUCGGCACUUGAUCAUCGGUGAUCUGAAUCACGACGAGUACGACUCCAUCAACCCCGUUCACUUGAACGCUUCCGCUUAGCGAUCUACAAGGGUAUGUAGAUGCACUCUCCUUUCUACUCGUUGCUGGUCUCUCCAUAGAUAGAUCUUGGUGACACGUAGGAAAAUUUUGAAUUUCUGCUACGUUCCCCAACAGUGGCAUCAUGAGCUAGGUCUAUUGCGUAGAUUCUUUGCACGAGUAGAACACAAAGUAGUUGUGGGCGUUGAUGUUGUUCAAUAUGCUUACCGUUACUAGUCCAAUCUUGUUUCGAUGGUAUUGUGGGAUGAAGCGGCCCGGACCGACCUUACACGUACUCUUACGUGAGACAGGUUCCACCGAUUGACAUGCACUUGGUGCAUAAGGUGGCUAGCGGGUGCCAGUCUCUCCCACUUUAGUCGGAACGGAUUCGAUGAAAAGGGUCCUUAUGAAGGGUAAAUAGCAAUUGGCAUAUCACGUUGUGGUAUUGCGUAGGUAAGAAACGUUCUUGCUAGAAACCCAUAGCAGCCACGUAAAACAUGCAACAACAAUUAGAGGACGUCUAACUUGUUUUUGCAGGGUAUGCUAUGUGAUAUGAUAUGGCCAAAAGGAUGUGAUGAAUGAUAUAUGUGAUGUAUGAGAUUGAUCAUGUUCUUGUAAUAGGAUUCACGACUUGCAUGUCGAUGAGUAUGACAACCGGCAGGAGCCAUAGGAGUUGUCUUUAUUUUUUGUAUGACCUGCGUGUCAUUGAAGAACGCCAUGUAAACUACUUUACUUUAUUGCUAAACGCGUUAGUCAUAGAAGUAGAAGUAGUCGUUGGCGUGACAACUUCAUGAAGACACGAUGAUGGAGAUCAUGAUGAUGGAGAUCAUGGUGUCAUGCCGGUGACAAGAUGAUCAUGGAGCCCCGAAGAUGAAGAUCAAAGGAGCUAUAUGAUAUUGGCCAUAUCAUGUCACUACUCUAUUUGAUUGCAUGUGAUGUUUAUCAUGUUUAUGCAUCUUGUUUACUUAGGACGACGGUAGUAAAUAAGAUGAUCCCUUACAAAAUUUCAAGAAGUGUUCUCCCCUAACUGUGCACCGUUGCUACAGUUCGUCGCUUCUAAGCACCACGUGAUGAUCGGGUGUGAUGGAUUCUUACGUUCACAUACAACGGGUGUAAGACAGUUUUACACAGCGAAAACACUUAGGGUUAACUUGACGAGCCUAGCAUGUGCAGACAUGGCCUCGGAACACGGAGACCGAAAGGUCGAGCAUGAGUCGUAUAGUAGAUACGAUCAACAUUAAGAUGUUCACCGAUGAUAACUAGUCCGUCUCACGUGAUGAUCGGACACGGCCUAGUUGACUCGGAUCAUGUGAUCACUUAGAUGACCAGAGGGAUGUCUAUCUGAGUGGGAGUUCAUAAGAUGAACUUAAUUAUCCUGAACAUAGUCAAAAGACCCUUUGCAAAUUAUGUCGUAGCUCGCGCUAUAGUUCUACUGUUUAGAUAUGAUCCUAGAGAAAAACAUAGUUGAAAGUUGACAGUAGCAAUUAUGCGGACAAUAGAAAGCUUAUGUCCUUAAUGCACCGCUUAGUGAGCUGAACCCCAAACGUCGUUUGUGGAUGUUGCGAACAUCCGACAUACACGUUUUGAUAACUACGUGAUAGUUCAGUUAAAUGGUUUAGAGUUGAGGCACUAAAGACGUUUUCGAAACGUCACGGAACAUAUGAGAUGUUUCGAGGGCUGAAAUUGGGAUUUCAGGCUCGUGCCCACGUCAAGAGGUAUGAGACCUCCGACGAUUUUCUUAGCCUGCAAACUAAGGGAUAAAAGCUCAAUCGUUGAGCUUGUGCUCAGAUUGUCUGAGUGCAACAAUCACUUGAAUCGAGUGGGAGUUGAUCUUCCAGAUGAGAUAGUGAUGUUUCCCCAAAGUCAUUGCCACCAAGCUGCUAGAGCUUCGUGAUGAACUAUAACAUAUCAGGGAUAGAUUUGAUGAUCCUUGAGGUAUUCGCGAUGUUUGACACCGGGAAAGUAGAAAUCAAGAAGGAGCAUCAAUUGUUGAUGGUUGGUGAAACCACUAGUUUCAAGAAGGGCAAGGGAACAAAGGGAUACUUCAUGAAACGGCAAUUUAGCUGCUUCACCAAUGAAGAAACCCGAGGUUGAACCCAAACCCGAGACUAAGUGCUCCUGUAAUAAGGGGAACAACCACUGGAGCAGGAUUACCCUAGAUACUUGGUAGAUGAGAAGGCUGGCAAGGUCGAUAGAAGUAUAUUGGAUAUACAUUAUGUUAAUGUGUACUUUACUAGUACUCCUAGUAGCACCAGGGUAUUAGAUACCGGUUCGGUUGCUAAGUGUUAGUAACUCGAAAUAAAAGCUACGAAAUAAAACGGAGACUGGCUAAAGGUGAGCUGACGAUAUGUGUUGGAAGUGUUUCCAAGUUUGAUGUGAUCUAACAUCGCACGCUCCCUCUACCAUCAAGAUUAGUAUUAAACCUGAAUAAGUGCUCUUGCACCUAAAGGAAUGGUUUAUUGAAUCUUGAUCGUAGGGAUACACAUUUUCAUGCCAAAAGAUAUAAGAUAGUAAUGAUAGUACCACUUACUUGUGGCACUGCCAUGUAAAGUCAUAAUGAUAUAAAACGCAUGAAGAAGCUCCAUGUUGAUGGAUCUUUGGACUCACUCGUUUUUGAAAAGUUUGAGACAUGCGAACCAUGUCUAUUGGUGUAUAUGCAUGAAGAAACUCCAUGCAAAUGGAUCGUUCGGACUCACUUGAUUUUGAAUCACUUGAGAUAUGCAAAUCAUACCACAUGGGCAAGAUGACUGAAAAGCCUCAUUUUCAGUAAGAUGGAACAAGAUAGCAACUUGUUGGAAGUAACACAUUUUGAUGUGUGCAGUCGAAUGAGUGCUGAGGCAUGCAGUGAAUAUCAUUAUGUUCUUACUUCACAGAUGAUUCGAGUAAAUGUUGAGUAUAUUUACUUGAUGAAACACAAGUCUGAAUUAUUGAAUGGUUCAAGUAAUUUCAGAGUGAAGUAGCAGAUCAUUGUGACAAGAGGAUAAAAUGUCUAUGAUAUGAUCAUAGAGAUGAAUAUCUGAGUUACGAGUUUUGGCACACAAUUAAGACAUUGUGGAAAUUGUUUCGCAAUUAAUACCACCUGGAACACCAUAAUGUGAUGGUGUGUCCGAACAUCAUAGUUGCACCCUAUUGGAUAUGGUGCGUACCAUGAUGUCUCUUAUCGAAUUACCACUAUCGUUCAUGGGUUAGGCAUUAGAGACAACCACAUUCACUUUAAAUAGGGCACCACGUAAUUCCGAUGAGAUGACACCGUAUGAAUUAUGGUUUAGAGAAACCUAAGUUGUCGUUUCUUAAAGGUUUGGGGCUGCGACGCUUAUGUGAAAAAGUUUCAGGAUUAAGCUCAAACCCAAAGCGGAUAAAAUACAUCUUCAUAGGACACCCAAAACAGUUGGGUAUACCUCCUAAUUCAGAUCCGAAAGCAAUAUGAAUUGUUUCUAGAAUCGGGUCCUUUCUCGAGGAAAGGUUUCUCUCGAAAGAGUUGAGUGGGAGGAUGGUGGAGACUUGAUGAGGUUAUUGAACCAUCACUUCAACCAGUGUGUAGCAGGGCACAGGAAGUUGUUCCCAUGGCACCUACACCAAUUGAAGUGGAAGCUUAUGAUAUUGAUCAUGAAGUUUCGGAUCAAAUCACUGCCGUACCUCGUAGGGUGACAAGGAUACGUACUACUUCAGAGUGGUACGGUAAUCCUGUCUUGGAAGUCAUGUUGCUAGACAACAAUGAACCUACGAGCUAUGGAGAAGCGAUGGUGGCCCCGAAUUCCGACAAAUGGUUAGAAGCCAUGAAAUCCGAGAUAGUAUCCAUAUAUCAGCACAAAGCAUGGACUUUGAUGGACUUGCCCGAUAAUCGGCAAUCCAUUGAGAUAAAUGGAUCUUUUAAGAAGAAGACGGACGUGGAUGGUAAUGUCACCAUCUAUGAAGCUCGACUUGUGGCGAAGUGUUUUCCGACAAGUUCAAGGAGUUGACUACGAUGAGAUUUUCUCACUCGUAGCGAUGCUUAAAGUCCGUCGGAAUCAUGUUAGCACUAGCUGCAUUUAUGAAAUCUGGCAGAUGGAUGUCAAGACAAGUUUCCUUACUAGUUUUCGUAAGGAAAGGUUGUAUGCAAUACAAUCAGAAAAGUUUUGUCGAUCCUAAGGAUGCUAAAAGGUAUGCUAGCUCCAGCGAUCCUUCUAAGAACUGGAGUAAGCAUCUCGGAGUUGGAAUGUACGCUUUGAUGAGAUGAUCAAAGAUUUUGGAUUUAUACAAAGUUUAUGAGAAACUUGUAUUUCCAAAGAAGUGAGUGGGAGCACUAUAGAAUUUCUGAUGAGUAUAUGUUGUUGACAUAUUGAUGAUCAGAGAUGAUGUAGAAUUUCUAGAAAGCAUAUAGGGUUAUUUGAAAGGUGUUUUUCAAUAGAAAGCCUGGAUUAAGCUACUUGAACAUUGAGCAUCAAGAUCUAUAAGGAUAGAUCAAAAUGCUUAAUAAUACUUUCAAAUGAGCACAUACCUUGACAUGAUCUUGAAGGUGUUCAAGAUGGACCAGUCAAAGAAGGAGUUCUUGCCUGAGUUGUAAGGUACGAAGUUAAGACUUAAAGCUCGACCACGGCAGAAUAGAGAGAAAGGACGAAGGUCGUCCCCUAUGCUUUAGACGUAGGCUCUAUAGUAUGCUAUGCUGUGUACCGCACCUGAAGUGUGCCUUGCCAUGAGUCAGUCAAGGGGUACAAGAGUGAUCCAUGAAUGGCUCACAGGACAGCGGUCAAAGUUAUCCUUAGUAACUAGUGGACUAAGGAAUUUUCUCGAUUAUGGAGGUGGUAAAAGAGUUCGUCGUAAAGGUUACGACGAUGCAAGCUUGACACCUAUCCGGAUAGCUCUGAGUAGAGAGACCGGAUACAUAUAAUGGAGCAAUAAUUUAGAAUAGCUCCAAGUAGAACAGUUGUUUGGAAUAGCUCCAAAUAGAGCGUGGUAGCUGCAUCUAGGAGAUGACAUAGAUAUUUGUAAAGCACACACGGAUCUGAAAGGUUCAGACCCGUUGACUAAAACCUCUCUCACAAGCAACAUGAUCAAACAUAAAACUCAUUGAGUGUUAAUCACAUAGUGAUGUGAACUAGACUACUGACUCUAGUAAACUCUUGGGUAUUAGUCACAUGGCGAUGUGACAUGUGAGUGUUAAUCACAUGGCGAUGUGAACUAGAUUAUUGACUCUAGUGCAAGUGGGAGACUGUUGGAAAUAUGCCCUAGAGGCAAUAAUAAAAGUAUUAUUAUUAUAUUUCCUUGUUCAUGAUAAUUGUCUUUUAUUCAUGCUAUAACUGUAUUAUCCGGAAAUCGUAAUACACGUGUGAAUACAUAGACCACAAUAUGUCCCUAGUGAUCCUCUAGUUGACUAGCUCGUUGUGAUCAACAGAUAGUCAUGGUUUCCUGGCUAUGGACAUUGGAUGUCGUUGAUAACGGGAUCACAUCAUUAGGAGAAUGAUGUGAUGGACAAGACCCAAUCCUAAGCAUAGCACAAAGAUCGUGUAGUUCAUUUGCUAGAGCUUUGCCAAUGUCAAGUAUCUCUUCCUUUGACCAUGAGAUCGUGUAACUCCUGGAUACCGUAGGAGUGCUUUGGGUGUAUCAAACGUCACAACGUAACUGGGUGACUAUAAAGGUGCACUACAGGUAUCUCCGAAAGUAUCUAUUGUUUUAUGCGGAUCGAGACUGGGAUUUGUCACUCCGUGUAAACGGAGAGGUAUCUCUGGGCCCACUCGGUAGGACAUCAUCAUAUGCGCAAUGUGACCAAGGAGUUGAUCACGGGAUGAUGUGUUACGGAACGAGUAAAGUGACUUGCCGGUAACGAGAUUGAACAAGGUAUUGGAUACCGACGAUCGAGUCUCGGGCAAGUAACAUACCGAUAGACAAAGGGAAUUGUAUACGGGAUCGAUUGAGUCCUUGACAUCGUGGUUCAUCCGAUGAGAUCAUCGUGGAACAUGUGGGAGCCAACAUGGGUAUCCAGAUCCCGCUGUUGGUUAUUGGCCGGAGAACGUCUCGGUCAUGUCUGCAUGUCUCCCGAACCCGUAGGGUCUACACACUUAAGGUUCGGUGACGCUAGGGUUAUAAAGGAAGCUUGUAUGUGGUUACCGAAUGUUGUUCGGAGUCCCGGAUGAGAUCCCGGACGUCACGAGGAGUUCCGGAAUGGUCCGGAGGUAAAGAUUUAUAUAUAGGAAGUCCUGUUUCGGCCAUCGGGACAAGUUUCGGGGUCAUCGGUAUUGUACCGGGACCACCGGAAGGGUCCCGGGGGCCCACCGGGUGGGGCCACCUGCCCCGGGGGGCCACAUGGGCUGUAGGGGGUGCGCCUUGGCCUACAUGGGCCAAGGGCACCAGCCCCAAGAGGCCCAUGCGCCUAGGGAACCCUAGAGGGAAGAGUCCUCAAGGGGGAAGGCACCUCCGAGGUGCCUUGGGAAGGAUGGACUCCUCCCCCCCCCCCUCUUGUCCGCCGCACCAGAUGCCAUCUGGAGGUUGGCCGCCGCCCCUUGGGGUGGGAAACCCUAAAGGGGGCGCAGCCCUCCCCUUCCCCUAUAUAUAUGAGGCCUAGGGGCUGCCCAUAACACGCGAUUUGAUCUCUCGUUGGUGCAGCCCUGCCCCUCUCCCUCCUCCUCCUCUCCCAUGGUGCUUGGCGAAGCCCUGGUGGAUUUCCACGCUCCUCCAUCACCACCACGCCGUUGUGCUGCUGUUGGAUGGAGUCUUCCUCAACCUCUCCCUCUCUCCUUGCUGGAUCAAGGCGUGGGAGACGUCACCGGGCUGUACGUGUGUUGAACGCGGAGGUGCCGUCCGUUCGGCACUUGAUCAUCGGUGAUCUGAAUCACGACGAGUACGACUCCAUCAACCCCGUUCACUUGAACGCUUCCGCUUAGCGAUCUACAAGGGUAUGUAGAUGCACUCUCCUUUCUACUCGUUGCUGGUCUCUCCAUAGAUAGAUCUUGGUGACACGUAGGAAAAUUUUGAAUUUCUGCUACGUUCCCCAACAGUGGCAUCCUCGGCGGCACCAUCAGUGGUGGCAUCCUCGGCGGCACCAUCAGUGGUGUCGUUCCCGACACCACAAGGGGUUGUGUAGUCAGGAUCGGUGUCUUCCGCGGUGUCCUCAUAGCGGUGAGGUUGUUCCUCCAUCUCCUGGGACAGCUCCCAGAAUUACUUACCGCCCGAACCGCCGGCCUCAUCGUUGUGGGCCAUGUUUCGCUCUAAAUAGGAAAAAAGUUUGGUAAAAGAGUUGGUUAUUGUCAAGGAACAAGAUCAUGAUCUCAUCAUUUAGGGUUUGUCGACACCGAGGCAUCCUAAAAGCUAAGCUUUUAUCAUUUAGUGUUUGUCGAUGCCAGGGCACCCUAAAAGCAUAAGCUUCCAUCAUUUAGGUUCUUAUCGACACCGAGGCACCCUAAAAGCCAAGGUUUUGUCAUUUAGGGUUUGUCGACAUUGAUGCCCAUGCAUAACACAAGAGGCAGUUGAUCCUACUUAAUAAAGUACUAAGAUACCCCGGCCCAUGCAUUAGUAGCAAGUACCCAUAUGUCUGAUUUUUAGCAAAGUCAUGCUAAAAUUCACGGAAAAUUUCAGCAUGACCUUUGCUGAAAAUAGGACAUAUGGAGUACCCGAAUUUGCCGGAACGGAAGUUAAUCGACAUUCCGGCAAACUCAAGGGUCUCUCGAGGUACCUGCAAAAUCAUCACGACACGAUGGUCGGAGACAAAACCCAGCAAACUAGCACCACAAUGUGUCUCUACUUUCAUAUGGAUGAAAAGGCCACAGACCAUAUGGUCCUCUGCUUUCAUAUGGACAAAAAUCAGCUCAACUUAUGUGAACUUCCAUUCCAGAUCUAAUAGGUCACCCAACAAAAAAUCAUCAAUAGUUUUAGCUGAAAAAAUCAUGGAUUGUUGUUAACUGAAAAUUAGUGAAAGAAACUGUUGCUGAUCAUGGAUUACUGUUAAUUAAAAAUAGAGCAUCUGGCUUGUCUUAUCAUGUUCACUAAGUCCACAAAAAUGAAUAGGUUCAGUAAACUUAAGUACUCAACACUGAACAUGGUUCAGAGAUCACUACACUACACUACACUACACAUGCUUAAACUCGGAGCAAGUGUACUGCUUAUUGUAAGAUGACUUACACUAGUAGAGCAGUUGUACUUGACUGAAAAUUUUGAUAGGAAAAUUUUGAAUGAUUUAAUACUGACAACUCUACAUCUCUGUAAUUGUAUGACACUGAAUGUGGUGGUGUUAUGUGUGUUGGAGUAACAACUCUGUAAUUGUAUGACACUGAAUGUGUGGAGUAACAUCUUUUACAUCUCUGUUUUGGUCAAAAUUGAAUGUUGAUUGCUUGCAUCAUCUACUCUGAAUGAUUUGAUAAUUAAUACUGACAACUUCAGCAUCUAUAGACUUUGUGUUGUGGCAGCAGCUAAAAACCCUACAUCUUGUCUCUCUGUUUAUUAAAGCUGAUGUUUAUGUGUCAAGUUUGACAUCAACUUGACUGAAUAUCAACUUGAUAGAUCAAAAGUUGAUAGAAAUUGACAGGUUUUGAGCAUCAAGAGAUCUGAAUGCAGUUAACUUGUUUUGAAAAGUUAACUGAAUUUUUCUUGUAUCAACAUUGCACCAUUUCAGCAUGACAACUCAACUCAACUAACCUCAACUCAACUAACAAUGACACAUUGUUGCCAGCGGCUACUGAUAUUGUUUGCAAUCCUGUAUGUGUAACCCAAAACAAAUCCCAGUACACCAGAACAGCUAUCAUGUCCACGGCCAUAACUAAGCAACUAACCUGCAUCAGAAGAUUCAGAUAAUCACAGAAGGCUAACAUUGACAGAUUGUGGCCAAGGCCAUACUAGUCUGAUUUGCACUUCCUCGAAACAAUCCCCAGAUAGCAAACUACCCAAAACUUCACACACACUAGUAGAAAAAGGGCCUUUAGUCCCGGUUCGUAAGGGCCUUUAGUCCCGGUUCUUGAACCGGGACUAAAGGGUCGGUACUAAUGCCCUGACCCUUUAGUCCCGGUUCAAACCAGAACCGGGACUAAAGGCCCUCCACGUGGCCGGUCCACCUUUAGUCCCGGUUGGUAACACCAACCGGUACUAAAGUAAAUUUUCUGUUUUUUUAAAUAAAAAAAUUGAAAUUUUUUUUGAAAUUUUUUUAGUUUUCAAAUUUCUGAAUUAUUUUAACCUCUAAUCUCUAAUCACCCCUCAUCACUGCUCAAUUUAAUCUCUAAUCACCCCUCAUCAUUCCAAAUCAUCUAACUUCCCGGACGGUCACCCAUCCUCCCACUCCCCCAGCCUGAGCACGCUUAACUUCCGGGUUCUAUUCUCCCUCGUUUCCAAGUCUGCACUCGUUGUUUUCCUAACAAUAGUAAGAUGUCAAUCCUAUUAACCCUCAGGAGUUUAGCUUGAGCAUGAAGUCACACAUUUCACUGUUUGAGUUUGAAACUAUUGUUCUAAAAAACAAUAAUUUUUUAGUAACACUAAUAUUUCUUGAAUAAGUAGUUUGACCAUUGUUUGACCACAGUUUGACCAUAGUUUGACCAGAUUUGACCAAAAUUCAAAAAAAACCGAAAUAAUUAUUUAAUAACACUAAUAUUCUUGAAUAAUUAUUUAGUAACACUAAUACUUCUUGAAUAAGUAGUUUGACCAUAGUUUGACCAGAUUUAAUGAAAAUUUUAAAAAACUGAAAUUUGAGCAUAACUUUUUUUCCUUUUGGAAUUUGAGGAUUCUACAAAUUUGCAAACAGGCCGUAGGCGGUCUCCAUCGGAUGUAACUUUUCGAGUAGAUGAUUUUUCAUAUAAAAAACUUUUUAAUCCGAGUUCGUAUGCAAAAGUUAUGCCCAUUUUACAAAUUCCAUAGAGAUUCUGUAAAUAAAGUCGAAAUUCAUAAAUUUUCCCAACAAGUAGACCACAUAUCACAUGGGAAACUUAUUUUAUUUUAUUUUUUUGACAUUUCCAUCAUUUUAUUUUUUUUUCUAAAACUGAAAAGGCGGUCCAGGGGGGGUUGAAAAUGGGACCUUUACUACCGGUUCGUGCCAUGAACCGGUACUAAUGCGUCAAAGCCCAUUAGUCCGAGUUGGUGGCACCAACCGGGACUAAAGGUCUAACCUUUAGUACCGGUUGGUGCCACCAACCAUGACUAAUGGGCAUCGCACCCUUUAGUCCCGGUUCGUGGCACGAACCGGGACUAAAGGGCCUAGGUGAAUCGGGACUAAUGCCUUAGCCGCACGAACCGGGAUAAAUGCACCCAUUGGUCCCGGUUCUGGACUGAACCGGGACUAAUGGGCUUACCCGGCCUGGACCAAAGCCCCCUUUUCUACUAGUGACACCAGAGCAGCCAUCCAAUUCACCAUUGCAGGUUCAACAAUAAUCUUCAGACUCACACCACUAGUUGAGUAGCAGCAGUAGCAGAGGCAGGCGGGAGAGGGCAGAAGGAGGAAGGAGGAGAGGUCCCUGGGCGGGCGCGGCCAGUCGCCGGAGGGGUCGGGGUCGGGGUUGGGGUCGGGGUCGGCGGCGGCAGCGACGUCGAAGGGAUGGCUUGAGGGCGUCCGAGCUCGUCCGGGUCCUCGUAGUCGAAGAGGAAGACGGCAGCGGUCCUCCUGGGCGCCUCAGUUGGUCAUGGGGAGGCCGGCGGCCGCAGUCGUCGUCCUGUACCCCUUGCCCGGACUGAGGUAGAGGCGGCGCAGGGCAGGGGGCGACGCGGGGAGGCUAUCAGCGAUGGCGAGGUCGCGGAGGCGUCGGCGAUGUCAGAGCUGCAGUGGUGGGGGAGCGGGGGCGCGGGGGCGGCGGCGUCGUGGGUCGGGGCAGCACGCGGUGGGGGGGAGUGGAUCUGGCGAGAGGGAGGACGAAGGGGUCGGGCGAGUUAGAGCUAGGGGGAGAUUACUAAUGGCGCACCCCCGAGCGGUGCGCCAUUAGAAUGUUUUUUUGAUAGCAGUGGCGCACCCCCUAGCGGUGCGCCAUUAGAAAUCUUUUGUUUAGAUUGCAAUGGCGCACUACCCGAGCGGUGCGCCACUAGUAUGUUUUUUAUUAUUUUUUGUUGCUAUUUUUUAAUAUAUUUUUUUUAUAAAAACAGUAAUAAUUUUUUUAUAAAAACAGUAAGAAUUCUUUUAUGAAUAUGAAAAAAUAUCUUCAAAUUUGUUAUUUGAAAAUAACAUCAAAUGGGGAUGCUCGGUGGUGGUGGAGCGGGCCGAGGAGGGUGUGGGGGGUCGACGGCGGNNNNNNNNNNNNNNNNNNNNNNNNNNNNNNNNNNNNNNNNNNNNNNNNNNNNNNNNNNNNNNNNNNNNNNNNNNNNNNNNNNNNNNNNNNNNNNNNNNNNNNNNNNNNNNNNNNNNNNNNNNNNNNNNNNNNNNNNNNNNNNNNNNNNNNNNNNNNNNNNNNNNNNNNNNNNNNNNNNNNNNNNNNNNNNNNNNNNNNNNNNNNNNNNNNNNNNNNNNNNNNNNNNNNNNNNNNNNNNNNNNNNNNNNNNNNNNNNNNNNNNNNNNNNNNNNNNNNNNNNNNNNNNNNNNNNNNNNNNNNNNNNNNNNNNNNNNNNNNNNNNNNNNNNNNNNNNNNNNNNNNNNNNNNNNNNNNNNNGGUCGGCGGCGGCGGUGGAGCGGGGGAGGGUGCGGUGGCUCGGCGGCGGCGGUGGAGCUAGCGGGGGAGGGUGCGGGAGGGAUCGAGAUCGAGAUGGAGGGGGAUAGCGGUCGAGGGGGGUAGCGAUCGAGAUGGAAGGGGAUCAAGAUCGAGUGUCCUCAUGAAUAUUCAAUAUUUUUUCAUAUUGAAUAUGAAACGAUAUCAUCAAAUUUGAAAAAAUAUUCAGGAAUUCAAAAAGUGCCCAUGAAAUUUAAAAAUAUUCAUGAGUUCAAAAAGUGCCCAUGUAAUACAAUCGAGAAAUAAAGACUACGAUUUAAAUACAAUCGAUCUUAGCUAGCUAUCUGUUCACAAUCUUCUUGCCCUUCUUUUUCGCAAAUGAAGUUCUUCUGUGGAACGGACGUCCUUUAGGUAGGGUGGUCCUACUUCUUCUUGUGGUGUAUGCUGCUACUUCGUCGUCGUCGUCAUGUUCCAUCUUCGAGCCGCCGUACUUGUCAAAGUCUUGCUCAUUGGCGACUCCAUCCAUUCCGAUGAUCUUCCUUUUGCCUCUCCUCACGACAACACGACUAGGCUUUGAUGGGUCGGUAAUGAAGAAGCAUUGGUCCACUUGGGAAGCCAGUACCCAUGGCUCAUUUUUCGCGGUGACGUUUGCGCCCGCGGUCUUGGAUUUGGCUUCGGGUAUAACCAUGGUGGUGAAAUACCGGUCUUCUUUUAGGACACUCUUGGCCCAUCUGACACGGAACAUCGGGACCUUCUCUCCAGCAUAGCUCAGCUCCCAGAUCUCCACGAUCCUUCCGUAGUAUCUGUCCUUGUCGUUACCGGUGUAGGAUUCUAUCGUUACCCCGGAGUUCUGAUAACCAUCACUCUUCAUGUCCUUGUCCUCGGUGUAGAAUGUGUAGCCAUUGAUAUCGUACGCCUCAUAGGGCAUCAGGUUGUGCUCAGCGCCCUGUGACAAGGCGAAUAUGAGUUGUUCUUCCACGGAAGAAUCCUCAUGUAAAGGGUACGACAGAAGCUUCUGCUUGAACCAACGCGUGGAACAUGAGUUGUGCUCUUUGAUUAUAUCUCCGUCCGUCCUUUGUUGGCCUCUGUCAUUGUACGCCUUCUCAAUAAAGGUUUUGUGCUCUACCACCCAAGGAUCGACCACGUCUAUGUGUUGUAGUGCGACUAGGUUUGCUCUUUCAAAGUCGGCGAUUCGGCCCUCGAAGUCGACAUGCAUUUUGCGGCGACCCUCACGGUGACCCCAUCCAGCGAGCCUGCCGAGGUGCCUGUUGACGGGCAGACCAACGGGGUUCUCGAUGCCUAGAUAAUUCGUGCAGUACGAGAUGCACUCUUCGGUCAAAAAGCCGCUGGCUAUGCUUCCCUCUGGACGUGACAUGUUGCGAAUGUAUCAUUUGAUGACACCAUUCAUCCUUUCGAAUGGCAUCAUGCUGUGCAGGAACGUCGUCCCGAGUUGGAUGAUAUCCUCCACGAUAUGGACCAGCAGAUGCACCAUAACAUCGAAGAAUGCGGGCGGGAAGUACAUCUCAAGCUCGCAUAGUAUCACCACGAUUUCUUCUUGUAGCCUUCUGAGUUGCCUCACGCCAACCGACUUCCGAGAGAUGACGUCGAAAAAGUUGCAUAGGCCAAAUAGCGUUUCACGAACGUGCGCGUCCAUGAUCCCACGGAUUGCAACUGGAAGUAUCUACGUCAUCAGCAAGUGACAGUCAUGAGACUUCAUCCCGCUGAACUUCUGCUUCGCUAGGUCUAGGUAUCUGCUUAUCUUCCCCGCGUAACCGUAAGGAAGUUUUACUCCUAUGAGGCAGGUGAAAAACUGCUCGAUCUCCUCCUGACUUAGAGUGAAGCACGCGGGAGGGUAGUCAUUUCCGGUCUUCUUGGCCUUUUUGCCUUUGCGACGACUUUCUGUGUCCUGCUUCGCCUCAUCAUCAUCAUCAUUAGCGUGAAGCUCCUCCCUGAUGCCCAUUGAUUUCAGGUCUGCCCGUGCUUUCGGCCCAUCUUUGGUCCUCUCCGGCAUGUUGAGUAGGGUACCAAGCAGACUCUCGCACACGUUCUUCGUGACAUGCAUGAUAUCAAGGCUGUGAGGCAGACGGUAGAUCUUCCAGUAUGGCAAGUCCCAGAAAACAGACCUCGUUUUCCAUACCUUCAGCAGCGGCUCUGGCACCUUUCGCUUCUUUCCCGGCUCUGGCGCCUUUUGCUUCUUUCCCGGCAGUGGGCAAUCUUUCCAAUUUUUCAAUAGCUCGUCUAUUUCCUCGCCACUCCUCGUACGCGGGUGUCUUCGGGGUUUGGUUUCACCAUCGAACAGAUCCUUGCGUUUUCUCCACGGGUCAUCGUCGUGAAGCCACCUUCGAUGUCCCAUGAACACGGUUUUCGAAGACCCGGGAUCUCUAUCUAGCUGGCAAUACGUUGUGUCAUCCAUGCACCUGCCCCGCGAGAUAUCCGUAACCAAGAUAGUCGUGCACCGUCGUGAGCAGUGCGGCACUCAUAGGGAAAUAUUCUUUCUCUGCGGCGUCCCAUGUAUUGGCUGGCGUUUUCCACAGCGUGUCUAGCUCCUCUUUUAGCAGCCCCAGAUACAGAUUGAUGUCGUUCCCCGGUUGUUUCGAUCCUUCAAUUAGCAUACUCAUGUGAAUGUACUUCCUCUUCAUGCAAAACCAGGGGGAAGGUUGUACAUCCACACAAACACAGGUCAGGUGCUAUGUGUGCUUCUCUGGCUGCCAAACGGAUUGACUCCAUCGGUGCUCGCGCCCAGCACGAUGUUCCUUGGAUCGUUCCCAAAUUCUGGGUCUUCGAAGUUCAACCCUUGCCACUGGCUCGCAUCCUUAGGGUGACUCAGCAUCUUGUCUUUUUUAUUUAUCUUCGGAUCAUUUCCGUCAUCUUCUCGCUUCUUCUCCUUCCUAUCCGCGUGCCAACGCAGGAGCUUUGCUACCUUAGGGUCCGCGAAAUACCACUGUAGAGGAGGAGUGAUCGGAAAGUUCCACACCACUUUUUGAGGAGCUUUCUUCCUCUUCUUGUAUCGAGUGACGCCGCACACCGGACAUAUGGUAGACUCCGCGUGCUCGUCCUGAUAAAUGAUGCAAUUGUUCAUGCACACAUGGUAUUUCAUGUGCGGUAAAUCCAGAGGACACGCGAUUUUCUUCGCCUCCUCGAAACUGGCCGGGCACUUGUUCCCCUUUGGAAGACGUUCGUGCCAGAACGACAUGUUCUCGUCAAAGCAUGCGUCGGUCAUUUUGUGUUUUACCUUCAUCUCCAGAGCCAUGAGCGUUACUUUCAGGCGGGUAUCCUCGGGCCUGCAUCCUUUAUAUAAUGGAGUAACCGCGGCUAUCUCCAGUUGAUCCAGCUUAGCUUUCUCCCGGGCGGCAGCUCUUGCGUUAUCCGUCUGCUUGAGAAGCAGCUCUCGAAUAUGAGGGUCCUGCACCCAGCCUCCAUCGUCGUCUGCUCCGGCAUCUUCAUCUUCAUGAUCAUGCCCUUCGUCUUGAUCUUCCUCAUCAUCAUGUCCAGCAUCUACUACAUGAUGACUGUGUACAGCAUCACCAUCGUGAUCAUGUCCUGGAGAUUCUUCGUCUUCUCGCCCGCCCUCACCGCGGUGGUUGUCUUGCUGCCCUUCCUCAUUUCUUGCCUGGCCCCCAUGGACGACUGCAUAGUCAUCUUCAUCACCUUGCCACCGAUAGCCAUCCAUGAAACCACGCAAGAGCAGGUGGUCCCGCACCGGCCCGGAAUCCAGGUCUGCAAUAAGGCUCUUCAGUUUGCAUCUUCGACACGGACAUCUUAUCUCCGUCUCAUUCUUUUGAAGCAUCUCGGCCUUCGCGGAGCUCAAAAACCUAUUCACGAUGCCUUCGGUCAUCGUGCGGACCAUGGUCGCCUGCGGGGUAGAGCAAAAUGAUAUUUUAGAACCAAGAAUAAAUUUGGCAUGACUUUCCCUAAAAAUAGGACCAAAAAGAAUGCAUAGUGCCAAAAUUCUCGCAGAAAUGGAAAUGAAUCAACAUUCCGGCAAAAUAUUGACAACUAUCGCAUUUCAAAUACCGGUACCUGCAAACACAAACAUAUAUGCAACACCACAAACAUAUGCAACACCACAAACAUACAUAGAUCUAGCAAGGCCAUAAAAAGUGCAUGUGCACGUUGUUGGAGCGAGCUAGGGAGAAAAAAAUUAGAUCUACAACAUAAAGAUAGCUUUCCCCUUACUUACCUAUAAAAAAAGGUAAUUUAACCACUUAAUUUUGAUGAAUCUAUGGUGCAAAUGAGGUGAGGAGGAGGAGGCAGCCGACACAAGCUUGGAGAAGGAGGUGGAGAGAAUGAAGUGGGGAAAGUGAGUGUGUAGGUGUGGCUGUCCAAAAUAUCUAGCUGGUCCGUAACCCUGGUUACUAAUGGCGCACCAGCUUGAGGUGCGCCAUUAGUAGUUUUGCAAAAAAAAUUAGUAGUGGCGCACUAUGUUGGUGGUGCGCCAUUACUAGUUAAACUAGUAAUGGCGCACUUUUACCUAGUGCGCCAUUAGUAUUUUUGGAAAAAAAUUGUUACUAAUGGCGCACCAACUCAUGGUGCGCCAUUACUAUAUAGUAGUGAUGCACCACAUGUCUGGUGCGCCAUUAGUGGCCAUAUCAUUUAUAGCCCUUUUCCUAGUAGUGAUGACUGGACUUGGUUACCAUAAAGCACAACCUGAUCAUUGCGUCUUUAUGAAGAGGUACCCCGAGGGUGAUUUCAUUAGUCUGUUUGUUGUAUGUUGAUGAUAUGUUGAUUGUUGGAAAUGGCACAAAGAGGAUUGCUCUCCUCAAGACGUCAUUGAGUAAAUCAUUUGCCAUGAAGGAUUUAGGACCAUCUAAGCAUAUACUUGGCAUGAUGAUCUCCUGUGAUGGAUCAAAGAAGCUGCUUUGGUUCUCAGGGCAUCUCCAGCCGUUGGCCCCCCCAGGACGCAUAAAAAUCACCCCCUGGGGGCGAGCCGGCGAUACAAUCGGCGCUGGGGGCGGUUUUGCGCCCAGUCGUCGCCCCCAGCUCGCCCCCAGGCGCCGAAAUUGGCCCACUUUGCAGCCCAAUUUCGGCGAAUAAAGGGCCCAUAUGGGCGAGAAUAGGCCCAUAUUCUGCGUGGUUUCGCCGUUUCUCGGCGUUCAGUUAUCAACACAAUUAUUUCUUAUCACAUAUUUCAUCACAGAAAAAUCAAAUACUUCAACAAAAUAGUACAACAACAAAUAGUUCAAUACAAAUUAUAUAGAUCAACAAAUAAAAACUCGUAUUUCAUCACACGACGUCCCCCUUGAGCCUCCAUAGGUGCUCAAUCAGAUCUUUCUGCAGUUGAUGAUGCACCUGUGGGUCUCGGAUCUCCUGACGCAUACUGAGAUAGGCAGUCCAAGUUGCCGGUAGCUGGUGAUCAACUUCGGCUAGAGGACCCUGCCUGUAGUAUGGUUCAGUGUCAAACACUGGGUCUUCUUGCUCGCUCUCGAUGAUCAUGUUGUGCAAGAUGACACUGCAAGUCAUAAUCUCCCACAUUUGAUCUUUGGACCAGGUCUAAGCGGGGUACCGAACAACAGCAAAUCGAGAUUGGAGCACACCAAAUGCCCGCUCGACAUCCUUCCUGCAAGCCUCCUGAAGCUUCGCGAACCAAGCGUUCUUCCCUCCUGCCACAGGGUUUGAGAUCGUCUUCACAAAUGUCGACCAUCUCGGAUAGAUGCCGUCAGCUAGAUAGUACCCCUUGUUGUAUUGGUGCCCAUUGAUCUCGAAGUUCACCGGAGGAGAAUGGCCCUCAACGUGCUUGGCAAAAACAGGAGAGCACUACAGCAUGUUGAUGUCAUUGUGAGUUCCUAGCAUACCAAAGAAGGAGUGCCAAAUCCAGAGGUCAUGUGUGGCUACCGCCUCAAGCACCACACUGCAACCGCCUUUGGUGCCUUUGUACAUCCCGUGCCAACCAAAUGGGCAAUUCUUCCAUUUCUAAUGCAUGCAGUCAAUGCUUCCAAGCAUCCCAGGAAAUCCUCUUGCUGCAUUCUGGGCUAGGAUCCGAGCAGUGUCUUCCGCAUUGGGUGUUCUCAAGUAUUGUGGCCCAAACACUGCCACCACUGCCCGACAGAACUUGUAGAAACACUCUAUGCUGGUGGACUCGGCCAUGCGCCCAUAGUCAUCGAGUGAAUCACUGGGAGCUCCAUAUGCAAGCAUCCUCAUCGCUGUCGUGCACUUCUGGAUGGAGGUGAAUCCAAGAGCGCCAGUGCAAUCCAUCUUGCACUUGAAGUAGUUGUCGAACUCCCGGAUGGAAUUCACUAUCCUGAGGAAGAGCAUUCGGCUCAUCCGAUAAUGGCGCCGAAAUGUUCUCUCGCCAUGAAGUGGAGCAUCGGCGAAGUAGUCGGAGUAGAGCAUGCAGUAGACUUAGAGACGAUGACGGUUCUUUGCUUUCAUCCGCCCCGGCGCCGAGCCACCUCGCCGCGGCUUUUCAUUGCUUGCCAGUAGCUGGGCGAGGGCGGCGAGCACCAUGAGAUGCUCUUCUUCCUGGACGUCGGCCGCGGCUUCGUCCUCCAGCAGCGCGGCGAGCUCUUCCUCCUCAUCCGAGUCCAUCGCUGAGGCAGGCAAAACGCCGAACACCUUGCACUCGGUGGGCGUGUACCCGCCGUUAAACCGCGCCUCCGCGGCCGGAAGCGACGGCCGGAAACGCCCAGCUGCUGUGGGAGGGGCUGCCACAGCGAAGCGCUGCUAUUUUUCGGCGGGGAAUGGCUAUCUAGCGGAGUAGGGCGGCGGUCGUCGCCGGGAUAUAGCUAGUGGUGGCCGAGGGCGCGGGGGGUGCGAGGCGAGUCGGGGGAAGAAAACCUUGACUUUUCCCCUGUCGGUGUGGGCCAGGCGUGCUUUUCCCUAGCGCCGGAGCCCCCAACUGCUCCCUAGCACGCCGGGUUCAGCCUGUGACCGCCGGGCGGAAAAAAGGUCCGAACCGGCGAUUUUCGGCAUCUUGGGGGCGCGACUGGGCCGUUUUUUCGGCGCCGGCGCCGAAAAAGUGGCCUGGGGGGCCCUGUUGGGGGCGCGGCUGGAGAUGCCCUCAUAGAAAAGAUACAUUGAGAAGGUACUUGAAUGGUUCUAUAUGAAAAAUGCAAAAUCUGUUAUCUCUUCUCCGACGGGCCAUCACAAACUGAAUCCCAAACAAUGUCCUAAAAGCAAGAACGAGAAAGAAGAAAUGACGAAAGUAACAUACCAAUCUGUUGUCGGCAGUAUGAUGUAUGCCAUGGUAUGCACUAGACCUCAUAUUGCCUAUGCAGUUAGAGUUUUCCAAUUCAUGAUAAGUCCAGAUAAAGCUCACUGGGGAGCUAUGAAGUGGCUUCUUAGGUAUCUCAAGGGAACUUCUACAUCUUGUUUAUGCUUUGGAAGCGGUGAACCUUUAUUGCAGGACUAUACAGAUGUAGAUUAUGCCGCUGACAAGGUUCAUAUGGAGUCCACAUCCGGAUACCUGAUGACUUACACAGGGGGAGUAGUGUCGUGGCAAUCAAUACUGGAGAAAUGUGUUUCCACAUCAACUACAGAAGUUGAGUAUAUAGCAGCGGUUGACGCUGGCAAGGAAGUGUUAUGGAUGAAGAACUUCUUGUAAGAGCUUAGCACGAAGCAAGAGAAGUAGGUUUUGUUUUGUGACGGUCAAAGUGUUAUUCAUCUUGCCAAGAAUUCAAGCUAUCACUCUCAAACCAAGCACAUUGAUGUGGGGUAUCAUUGCAUUCGAGAUGUUCUAAGUUCCAAGUUGCUGAAACUGAGGAGAUCCAUACCGACGACAAUGUUUUGAAUAUGAUGACCAAGAUAUUGCCAAAUGAGAAGCUACAAUCAUCUUUCAAGAUAGCGUGCCCCCUCAUGAGUUGGAGGAGGAGAUUUGUUGCUGCGUAGAAGGGUGAUGAGCUUUUUGGGGAGCGCUCUCCGUGACUAUUUAACUCUUCAUCAGGGACGCCACAAACACCAACGAUCACUUCCUAGCGACUAUCUCUUCCACGACGUCGAUAAACUCUUCGACGACAUGGGCGAAAACACCAACGUGAACGGUUCCUCUGCUGCACAAUACAUGCUCAUUUGUCCAUUGUUCAAGAUCUUGCUAUAGUUUCUUGUUCUAGCUAUUGUUUUAAACAUGUUGUGUUUGAAUUCACAACUUCAGAAGCUAUUUUCAUAAUCUCGGUUAGAUUGCAUGAUUUGUUCUAUCUCUGUUAUUAUAGUCAUGCUUUAUCUUCUAUUUCUGUGGAUUAAAUCAUUUGUUAAAUUGAUCAUAUUUCCAACAGUCCAAAAACCUUAUUAUAAGCCCUUUACCCGAGUGGUUUUGCUACAUCCAUGAGGCCUCCUAUGUUUGAGAGGUGGCGUGUGAGAGCAGUUUUACAAUUUCAAACCAUGAGCUGUUAUGACGCCACACUUGGCAAACCUAAAAGAGAUCUUGAUCCUCAACAGGAACAAGCUUUUCAGAAAACUGAUAACCGGUUUAAGGCUACUCACUUGAGUGCUCUUGUGAGAACAUAGUUGAUGCUUAUGCAUCAUUUGAUAAUGGCAAAGAUUUUUGAGACGCACUCGAGGCCAAGUUUGGGGUCUCAGAUGGCGACACUGAGCUGUAUAUCAUGGAACAAUUCUAUGACUACAGGAUGACUGAUGAGCGUUCCGUGGUUGAGCAAUCUCCUGAGAUACAGUCAUUUGCUAGAGAACUUGAGUACUUCAAUUAUAUGUUACAUGAAAAGUUUGUUUACGGAGGCAUUAUCACCAAGCUUCCUCCCUUGUGGAGGAACUUUGCUGCCUCUCUGAAACAUAAAAGACAGGAGUUUCCAUUCCGGAUCUCAUUGGUACUCUUGAUGUGGAAGAAAAGGUGAGAUCAAAAGACACACGUGCUUGAGGUAUUGAGAGAGGUUCUAGCGCCAAUAUGGUAUAGAAGAAAGACUUACAACCCCAUAAGCUCAAGAAGACAAAAAUCUAUUGCGGACCCCACUCCAAGUCCAGCUCAUUUUUUAUUUUUUGGGUUCAUGUAGCUAGCGACUCAGAUGUCAUGAAAAUCAAUCUCUGUGAAGUAGCAUUGCAUUCAGAGAUGAUACUCUUCUCUUCAAGGGGACGAGGCUCUUAGGGUGCGUUUGGUUACAAGGGUGGUCAUGAAUGGGUUGGGAUCGUUCAAAAAAUAGACAUGUUUGGUUAUAAAGCACAUGAAUGGUUCAAGUCAAAAAAAGAGAAUAUGCCUUGAAGAUGCUGAACCGUUCCACCCAACCAAAUCGGUCGAAUCAAAUGGCCACGCUUUGCAUGCAUGACUAUGUGAGCAUGACUGGUGGUCCCGUCCUAAAUAAUUAGCUCAUCUCUUAUAUUCAGCCAAACGCAUGAAUUGAAAGGUUCAAUCCCAAAUAAAUUGGACGGUCCCAACCCAUUCAUAUGACACCUUCAACCAAACGCAUCUAGUACUCCUGUCCAAUGCUGGUGGAAUCGUCUUCUCUCCUAGACCUUGAUUUAUUUGCUAGCUAGCUGCAAUGCAAUCUCCCAGGAACCAAGGCAGGUCCGAAAGAGGGGGAGAAGCCUGGAGAUGGAGGUGAGAAGGGUGGAAGCAAACCACGCAAAGUGGAGCUGUCGGAGGAGCAGAAGGCAUGCAUGGAGGCUAACCGGAUCAAGGCGCUGGAGAAGGCGGCGGUAGCUCCCACUCGCAGCCUGCUACCGAAACUACCAUGACAUAGGCCGAGUCAAUCUGCCUUGGAUGCUAGGCUGUGUAGCAUACAUAUUGGGUUUUAUUCAAGGGUCAAGAUAGUGUUUUUUGAACUUGAUUGCAAAAGGCUCCAGGGAACGUGCUCUUUGCUUCAGUGAUUGAUUGCUUGUAGAAAAGGUUGUGGAAGUUGGUUUACUUGGUGCUGGUGUGGGCAAGCUAAAUCUGGUGCCCUUUGUGACUCAAAUCUACCUUGGUGCUUGUGUUUGUAGCCUUUUGAACAUGGAGUUUCUGUGCAUAUCAACAUAGGGCCUGACUAUUCACCUCAAAUUUGAGUGCGUUUGUGUUAUAAACCUGAUGCUCUGAAAUUUCUGGAAAAAGGUUUCUGGAAUUCGGAUGCUCUGAAAGUUGAUGCUUUCAGGCAUCAGGUUUGCAUGAUACCAGCCUCUGGUUCUAUGUCAUGGGACCAUCUAUUUGCCAACAAAAGCAUCCAUGCUCAGUGCUAGAGAUGAACAAACCCAUCCACUCAUCUAGAGAAAAGCUAGUAUUGGCACAUGAGAAUAUAACCAAAGUCAGCACCACUAGCCUAGCCAAUCUUCCAACACAAACAACAUUACGAGUCUUAGACGUCAUUGUCAGGCAAAUUCAACUUGCUGACACCAUAUCCUGCUUACAUACAUAUGACACUUAACACGGACAUAUCAAACUACAUCAGCACCAUCUUGAACAUCCGCCAUCCUACUCCAGAUGUAUGGUCCAGGUCCAAGCAAGAUCAAGGCCAGCGAGCUCAGAUCUGCAUACAUGUAUUUAGUUAGAAAUUUUUAGCAACUGCAGUUGAUGAGACGGGAAUCUUUCCCAUCCCAUUUUCUUAGGAAGGGGCCAUGUGCUAAAUAGCAGAGUACAAUAUAGCUCAAGAACAAAGGGCCGCAAGCUGCCGUAGUAUAUUGCAGCUUGGAAAUAUACACAAGAACUUAGCAGACCAUAACAAACGAACCCUCUCUGUUCUUGAAAACAUAACAUGGUAAAUAAUGAGUGCUCAUAAAUACAGGACUCAAGGCCUUCAAACAUCAACUCACUGGUUAUGCAACAUACUUACUUUGAACAUUGCCAUUAAAUUAAAUGAACAAUAUGUAGUAAGUGCUAAGUAUGACUAACAAUGUACUUACUACACAAAGAAGCAAGCGUGAAAGCCAUUAUCUCCUAAGAUAUGGAGCAACAAAGAUUAGCUUUCCAAACUAGUGUGUAAUAAUCUCUCUUUUCAGUUAACCUUCUCAAGCACAUACAGUUGUUAAACAUGCAUGCAGAAUCAAACCAUGACCUGUCCUAGCUAGUUUGAAAAGGUAGUCAAGCCCAAUAGAACAAUAAUAUAAACACCGGAGUAGAAAUUUGAAGCAACUGCUCAGUUGAUGCAAUGAGAAUCUUUCCUAUCUGCUAAAUUGCAGAGUACAACACAGCUUAAGAACAAAGGCGCACAAGCUGUUUAUUCGUGCUUCCCAAGAAACCCAGAGCCAUCUUAUUGCAGUUUGGAAGCAAUAUAAAUAAAUAAAAAUAGCAGAUCAUAACAUGUGAACUCUAUGCUUUUGAAAACACAACAUG
rnacentral:lncRNA from 1 species